AAAAGGAGAACACCUGCUUGGUAAGAUCAUCACAUCACCUAAUAGGAAUUUAAAAGACAUUCACUAUAAAUGCUAAAAGAGACUAUAAAAUGAAGUAUGUUUCACAAUUUAUGAUUAUAAUUUUUGAUAAAAUGGUUACAACUUAAGUUGACAUGAAUAUUUUUCUUUUUAUAGGUGUGACCGAAUUUUAUGGUAUGGAGAAGGUCUGCAUCAGUUAUCUUAUGUUCGCGGAGAAUCCAGAUUUUCAGACCACAGACCUGUUUAUGGCAUAUUUUGGGCUGAGGUUGAGUCAACUCAUGGCAAAUUGAAGAAAAGUAUGAGUUGUUCUCGUUCCAGAAUCGAGGUGGAGGAACUUCUGCCGUACUCCGGUGGAUAUACUGAACUAAACUUUUUCUAAAGAAAAGGAAAGACGAAUAAGAGACGUGUCCAUCGAUAUUCAAGUACUUUAUCUAUCCCUUACACACUCUCUCAAUCAUGCUUGUAAGAUAGUGGAACUUAGGCCACUUAGUGUUUGCUUUUUUUUCUUUCUUUCAAGCUCAUUCAAAUACAACAUACAAAUAGAAAAACAAAAAACUAAGUGCAGGACCCCAAAAGUGGGCCCAAACUUUUUCUUAUAAUAUAGUUUGCUAGAACAAAAGUACAAGAUUCUGAGGUUGUGACUAAUUUACAUCGAAUUUAACAUAAUAGAGUCGAAUAGUGGAUCAUGCAAUCAAAACAUACAUCUUAAAGAAUUUACCAAUAUGAUCUGUAACUUUAUUAUUUUUACAUUAGGUGUAUCAUGCUUUACUAGAUAUACAAAUUGGUUUUCAUGAACUUGAUAUAGGCAAUAUAAACAAACUAUUUUUACAGUAAAGUCUGAAAAGUCUAUGUCUCAUUCUCUUCUACUUUGAAGUCCUUUUGUUCUUUUCUUAUUGUCAUUACAAUUACAAUUAUUCUUUUACAUAACUUGUUGAAUUAGAAAUCUUACAUGUUCUGUUACUGUUCUGCAAAUGGUCCCCCAAAUUACCAAUAGGAAGUUACUUUGAAUGAAUUCUUUCAUGGAGGGAGAUAGAUAGGGACAACCCAUUUCACAUAUACCGAAAAAGGUUAGUUUUUUUUCUUCUUUCUUUUCUCUUUCAUGCUUUUUUUAGUUCUGCUUUUAGCUCAUUUCUUUGUCUAAUUUUUGCCUUCACUUUAUCUUUUUCAGUUUAUAAUCUGUAGAAUUUUGGUCAUGCUUUGCCUAACACAUGAUCACUACAACACAUUAUCUUGCUAGUACUGUCCAUAAUUUGAUACCAUAUAAACAAAUACUCAAGUUUCCACUUUUACAAUCAUUAGGUACUACUACAUUGUUGUUAUUAAAUAUAUUAAUUAAUGCUAGUUUAUGUUUAUUUUUUAAUUGACAAGAAUACGUACAUGCUUACUAAUGAUUUGAGCUUUUUUCUUGUGCAGGUAGUUGAAGAAGAGGAUUUUUUUAUUCAAGAUUUUUUAAUUGUUUUUGGAGAAUAUUUAUGAUGACUGAAAGAUUGUCAGAAUAAUCAUUUGGACACUAACUUUUUUUUAUUUUAAAAAUGUAAUGUAAAGAGAAUGAGAGUUUUGAUGUAUAGUAAUUGCUGCCACAGUAAUUGAGUAAAGAAACAAAAAAAAAAAAUUGAAGUUCAUGAUAGAUGCCAGAAACUUUCUUGUGCUAUCUGUGCCUGCACGAUAAUUUUUUUACUGAUAAAGUUGGCUUGACAUCAAAAUCAAAUAGUAACACACUACAGUUGCUGAGGUUCUUCUUUAUACUAAUGAAGAAUAGUAGUUGAGUAUUUAACAAACUAUAAGAGGCAUGUAGGUUUGGCGGGAAUAAUUUUUGGAGGCUCUAAUGCAACAGGGCCCUCUUGUUUCAAGAUUCUAUUUACAUGCCUGUCCAUUUCUGUUUACUUUUGACUAGGUGGACUUUAGCUACUUUACCAUAUGACAUUUCUUAUGAAUCCAGAAAGAAUCCGGAUGCUGCAUUAACGUGAUUUCGUGUUCACCACAUUUGGAAGAUUUAGUGAUCAUCUAAUCUUGAUUGAAUGGUCCAAAAUAUGUAUAUUUUAGUUUUUUCACAAUAUAACUCAAAAUACUUAACUUGAAUUUGAACAGUAUUAUUGAGGUAUCAAUUGCAUGAAUGUGAGAGUCCAUCUUUCUUUUUUUGUGUGUAUCAAUUUAGAUCCAUAAGAAAAGUUGAAACUUUAACAAUUGCAAACAGGAGGGUAUAGAAAGGGACCAAUGCUAAAUCAUUAAUUGAGUAAUUAGUUCUAUUAAAAGAAAUUAUAAAUUUUGUGGAUGAUUUUUGGUCCUGUCAACAGUUAAGAAUUUCGUGUGAGAGUCAUUCAUUCAUGAGAUCUCAACUGUUCAACCACUUUGUCCUUAUGGUUGUUAGAGAGCCACUUCAUAUCACUCAAAUGUGUGUAUACUUGGUUGGAAAAUUUUGGAUUAGUAUGUGGUACUGUAAAUGCCAGAAUGCCUAGCCAAAAGAAGUUAAUAGUGAGAAAGGUAAACAAGUGCUCCACAUUCCACAAUAAUUACUUCUGUAUCAUUUUGUUAUAACAACAAUUUCAAUUGAUGAGAAAGAAUACACAAAGUUUAAUCACAUAAUUUUGUUAAUUGUGUCUACGUUUCUGACUCUAUAAGACGACUACAAUAUUUUUUUAUUACGAUUAAAGAUUAAGAUUUACAAUGUAAAAUUUAUAUUUGAUAUUAUUUCAGAUUACCACAUUACCCUUGAAUUAUACCUAACACAUUUAUUUUAAUUGCACAAAAUGUGAUUUGAUGAUACUUUAGCAACUUGAGCCUAGUGUCCAUUGUAGAAUGUGAAAACAAAAACUCAAAUGUACUUUUAUUACAUGAAUAAUUGAUCAUCAACUUACAUGUAACAACUCAACUGUUGCAAGUUAAGAAAAUUUGAUAAUUGGCCACAUGUGUGGAAGUGACCUAUAAAUGGUAAAAGAGAUAGGCCAUUUGAAAGUCAAUCAACCUGAAUAAAAACAAUCUCUAAGCCUUAAAAAGGGGUUACUAGCUUGAGUUUCCUGUGAAUGCUUGAUGACAGAUAAUUUUAUGUGGGUCAGCCAUAAUAGUCCACUUGGUUGGAGAUAAGAUAUGGUAUCUACAAUGCUUACAUAAGAGGGGAAGUUUUCCUUGCAAUAUUAAAAAGUCAAAAAUCAUUGAUCAAGUUCAUUCCAAGUUAAGCCAGUUAAGGAGAUAUAUAUGGAUUUAGUCAUGUUUCAAGAGAAAUAUUUGGCUAGUGGAUGAGAGUUUAUUCUUCUUAAUUUUUAGGGAAUCAUCAAAAACUCCUUUGACAAUAUCUUUUUGCCUAUUUUAAAAAAGGUAAGAAACUUAAUUUUUGUACUCAUAUUCUCAUAUUUUUCAUUUCUUGAUGAAUUAUUGGCUUUUUUCUACUUUUUUUUACUAUAUUAAUUAAGUCUGUUAAUUUUGGUAUUUAUGUAGGAGAUUUUCGGAAUAUCAAACAAACUAAUGAUCAAGAUUUACAAAAGACAUUAUAUUUCUAUUAAAAACUUUAAGAUAUUAUACAUGAGUCACAUCAUUUAUAUAUUAUUUAUUUAGUUCAUAUCAUUUACAAUCGUUAUAUAAAAGAUGUAUAAGACUAUCCUUUACAUAGUAACAUCCCUUAUAUAUCAUUUACAAUCAUUAUAUAAGAGAUGUAUAAGACUAUCAUUUACAUCAUUUAGGUGCUAGACUUUAAGGGAGUUGAUCUAUAACUAAACACUCGCACUUAAAUUUUAAAUUUUAUGACUAUCAUUUACAAUCAAGUCUCUUUAGUAGGCUUUAUCAGUCUCCCAUCUAAUUACUAACCCAUUUAAAAUCCCAUAACCACUUUGACUCAUCUUCUAAUACUCACCUUUGUAAAUCUAACGAUUUAUAAUGAAUAAUAUUCCCAAAAUAUAUCACAGUUAUGCAAUGUGUCAAGUAUAAUGUCAUGGCUAUUAUGUUUGGUCUAAUUGUCUAAGCUGCAAUAAAAAAUUAAAGGAAAAUGUUUCAUGGGAUUUUCAUAAAUCAUUUUAUGGCCAGUUUAACAAUUCACAAAAUAUGUAAAUGAAGAAGCAAAAGUGCAUAAUGACAAGGAGUUGUCUCAAUUAAAUUGUUGAUGUCAUAGUUUUGUUUUUGUUUGUAACUGCCAACAUGGUCUUGCUGGUGGGAAACAAUUUCAAAGGAUUACUUACUUUGGAUUUUUGAUAGAGAUUUUGCACUCUGUAUGAACUGAAAAAGAUCAUUAGUGUCCUAUGACUUUAAUUUCUUGGUGCUCCUGCACCACUUUAGUCAUAACCAAUUUGUUAAGACUUUUGCUUUUGUACUUGUCAUAUUUUUUAUGAUUAUUAUAUAACAUGUUUAGGACCACACCUUUUUUGUCUGAAAUUCUUCUUCUUUUUUACAGUUUAUGACAUGAUUAACCAAGUUGUUGUGCUGACAACAGCAUUUGCAGUGCUUCAUAGGAAUCAUUCCUCUGUGGAUUCUGUAUAUUGCAACCAUUUCUACAAAUGAUUGUUUAUAAUGAAUCUCAGAGAAAUGUUUGCAUUGUGCUAUGCAAAGUCACAGAGUAAGCAGAGUGUUGACAAGUGAUUUGCAAAAAGUUUAUUCAUGCCAUGCCGUUUAAUAAUCAUGUGAAAUCAUGACACCUCUAAUUAGCAGGCUGUUAAAGGCUCAUUCUCUUCAUAAUAAAUUGGAACUUUAUUUCAUGGCCUUUUUAAUUGAGCAACAACAGGUGGAUUUGAAGAAAAGUAUAACAAUAGUCUUUUUGCUGUGAUUCUCCAUUAUGUAUAUUUGGUUGCAAGAAAAUAUUGAGAAGAGAGAAAAUAAUUGAAAUAAAAUGGGAGAAAUGGGUUUAAUGUUUAAAAAUAUAAAAUUAUCUUUAUAUUAAAAAAUGAUUUAUUUUUUAUCUAAUAAUUUUGUAACUACUUUUUAUAAAAUUUCAGUACUUAAUUUCUGUCAAAAAAGUAAUUAAUUAAAAUAAAUCAAUAAAAUUUUAAAAAAAUAAAUUAAAGUUAAACAUUCAUAUAUAUAUUAUUUUAAUUGAAUUAAUGUUCAAUGAAUAUCUUCAUUCUCUUGCAUAUUCGGUUUCACAAAAGAAAAAAACGAUGCCUAAAGUUUCAAUAAAAUACCAAAAUUUGUGAAUGCAUAAGUUAUAUAUAGAAUAUAAAUAUAAUAAAACAUAAACAGAAUAAACUAUUAACUUGAAAAUAUAAAAGACUCAAGUUACUUGUAUUAUUUAAUAUUUUUCAUUUGGAAUUCUUUGGUACUCGGUGUGUUGCUUCAAAAACACCAUCAAAGUAAAUACGUUUUUUUGUUAACAAAGUAAAUACUUUGCGAUCCUCUUCACGGUGCUCAUUUAUAAAUUUUAUUUUUUAUUUUCUUCCUCUUUGUAUUAGUCGCCACAUGAAUUUUUUAAGUCUCCAUCUUUUACGAAGAAAGAUUUGGGUUACUGCCUUCAAAAUAGUCUCCAUAUGUUUGAUUGGGCUUAAAACGAGGGAUAGAUGCCCAAAAUUGAGAAGCUAUGUCUAGCAGCUGCACCUCUAAUCCAACUUCAAGACUUGAUUUCACCCCCUUUAUUAAAUGAAUCCGCCAAUUUAACGUUUUACAAAAUAUUACUAUUUUGGUUAAUAUUAUAAAAAAAUACAUCAAAUAUUAGUCACAAUUAUAAUCAAAAGUUAAUUAGUUUGAAUCAAAAAUUAAUAUUAUUACUUUUUAUAUAUCGUUGAUUUAAUUCAAAAACAUUGAUUACAAUUAGUUGAAUAUCUGAUAUUAAAAAUAAAUAAUUUCAUAAUUUUAAUUUAUAUUUUAUAUAAAAAAAUUAAUUAUACUUAAAUGAAUUUUUUAAUAAUCAUAAAGUAUAUAUAUAUUUUUUUUUUUACUUAUAAUAGUGAUCAAAAUGUAGUAAAUUUAUUUGUCUAAUUUUCUAGCAUAUAAAAUAUGAUAUUUUGUUGUCUUAAGCGAUGUUUUUAGUUUUGUCAUCUUAUUAUUAUGUUUAUUUUGUUUAGGUUGACAUAUUAACUUUGAUCUAUGCUAACAAAUUCAACUAACGACUUUAGCAUUGUCAACGUCGCAGAUCCAAAGCGUGGAUACUUCGAUCAUUUUAAUUUUGUCAAUUUUAUAGACAUUUUACUGGUUGGUGCUAUUAGUAAAUUUGUAUUGUUUUCAAUAAAUGUGUUAUCCUAAUUUAAAUAAAUGGAUAUCAUUUGUGGAUGGAAAGAAAAACUUAUGCGUAAAAAAAUCACAAUUUUUGCUAUGAAAAAUCAUCAAAAUCAGAUCCAAUACAUUACAGCAGUAUUAAUAUGUACCAAGGGCUGUGUAAAAAAUCCGAUUACGAGGCCCAAAUCCAAAACCGGAUUCAAAUUCAUUUUAAAUAUCCGGUUAAAAUCAUAUGGUUAUAAUUUGGUUUAUUUAUAAACCGGUUGGAUAACCACUUAUGUUUUAUAUUUGGAUUUGGUUUUUCUCCGGUUUUUAUCCACGACCAAUAUUUUGUUAAUUUUGGGAUUUUAUUUCUUGAAAAAAAAUUGAAUUUCUUUUUUUUGAAAAAAUAUCAGGAAAAAAUAUCAGAAAAAAAUAAAAUAAAAAGAACUUGUUUUUCUCAAAAGGAUUUUAAAAAUCGAAUUUUUUCUUGAAAAAUUUGGUGAGAAUUUUUUUAAAAAAAUUUAUCGAAAAAAUUGAUUUUUUUAAAUAACCGAUUUUUAAACUAUGAAUAAAUAUUUUUUUUUAAAAAUAAUUAAAUGUUAACCAAUUUUUUUAAAAAAAUUAAUUUUAAAAUUAAAAUUUUCAAAACUGGUUGCUUAAUUAUGAACCGGUUAUUUAACCAUAAUCAAUUUUAAAAUUGGUUUUAUAACCGGUUUUAAACCAAAUAAUGGAUUUGGUUAUAAAUCUAAAUCCAUAUAUUGGUUUUAAAAUGGAUAUGGUUUGGUUUUUAAAAAAAACCAACCAUGAACAACCCUAAUGCACCAUUAAUAAAUUCAAAGCCCAAUGAUUAAAAUUGUAUUACUGCAAGGAUCUGGGCCUUAGGGGUGUUCAAAAAAACAAAAACUGAACUAAACUGUUGAACUGAACCGAACCAAACCGAACUGGUUUUGAACUGAACUGAUUUAUAAAAAUUGAGAACCGAACUGUUUUCGAACUGAUUUUUUAAAACAAGAACUGAACCAAACCGAUUUUCAGUUUAGAAAACCGAACUGAACCGGUUUUUAAUUUGAAAAAACUGAACCGAACUGGUUUUUAUUUCAAAAAACUUGAACCGAAUUUGUUUUUUAUAAGUAAUUAGGGGUAAUUAUGUAAAAUUUGGUCUAUAUGAACAAAAAAACUAAGUUAAACUGGUUCGGUUCAGUUCAAAAUAAAAAACCGAUUCACCAUUUUGUAAAAUCGGUUCGGUUCGGUUUUUUGAACUGAAAAACUGGUUCGGUUCAUUUUUUCGAACUGAAAAUCAGUUCGGUUCAAUUUUCAAACGGUUCUAGUUCAGAACUGAACUUUGUCCACCCUUACUGGGCCUUGACUUUUUUUUUCUUCAUAUAAUCCAUGACUUAUUUGAAAAUUUCAUAAGUGAAUAUGUAAAUUCGAACUGAACCGGUUUUUAAUUUGAAAAAACUGAACCGAACUGGUUUUUAUUUCAAAAAACUUGAACCGAAUUUGUUUUUUAUAAGUAAUUAGGGGUAAUUAUGUAAAAUUUGGUCUAUAUGAACAAAAAAACUAAGUUAAACUGGUUCGGUUCAGUUCAAAAUAAAAAACCGAUUCACCAUUUUGUAAAAUCGGUUCGGUUCGGUUUUUUGAACUGAAAAACUGGUUCGGUUCAUUUUUUCGAACUGAAAAUCAGUUCGGUUCAAUUUUCAAACGGUUCUAGUUCAGAACUGAACUUUGUCCACCCUUACUGGGCCUUGACUUUUUUUUUCUUCAUAUAAUCCAUGACUUAUUUGAAAAUUUCAUAAGUGAAUAUGUAAAUUAGUAUUUGGAAUUGUAAAUGUGAUCAAAUUAGUAUCUAAAGUUUGUGAAUUGACAAAUAAAUUAUUGAUGUUGUAAAAUAUCAAUUAAAUAUAAUAUGGAAACUUUUGUCGUUUGAUAUUUUGAUGAAUUACGUAAUUGAAUAUAUGACUUAUAUCCAUGUUGAUUUCACAUCAACGUGAUAUUUUCGAUGAAAUUUAGUCAUCUUAGAGAUAAUUUUUUGAGUAAUUGUAAUUGUACAUCGACUAAUUAUGUACAAAAUAGUCCAUGAAAGAUUUAAAUUUUAUUAGAAAAUUAGUCUGUAUUCUGAUGACAUUGAUAUAAGAUCAAUGUGAAUGAAUCAAAUAUUUAAUUAACAUACCACAUUAUAAUCUCGAACAAUAAAAUUUAAUUAUGCAUUGCUUUGAUUACUAUUUAACAACUUUAGGGAUGUAUUUGCUGUCGAUUUACAAUAUUUAAUAAUUAAUUUGAUUGAAUCUUACAAUUUAAAUGACCGAUUUGGCAAUUCACUCAAAAUUUUACUUACUACUCCAUAAUUAUAGUUUUACCUAUAUAUUUUACUUAAAUUAUCCAUUUAACCAUAUUUAAAACAAAAUCUACCAUCCACCUAAGAUUCAAUUUGUAUUUUAGAAAAUUCAAUUUAUGUAUGUUGGAACAAAUGUAUGUUUUGGAAAACUUAAUCAAAUUUUUCAAAAUCUAUUUGUGUUUUAGAAAAUUCAUUUGAGCUUGCAUUUGUGUUUCAGCAAAUUCAAAGAUAGAGUUUUAGCAAUAAUUUUUCUUUCAACCUUAAUUAGUAAAAAAAAAAAAUUUGCCUUAAGCUGAGUUUGUUUAUCAUUUUCUUUCACUCUCAAUUUUGCAGUGAUAUUUUCAAGUGAUAAAAAAAUUUUGCAGUGAUAAAAAAUUCGACAAUAAUGAGUAAUAUAAUAAUAUUGAAUAUAUUUUUACUUCAAAAACGACAUUAAUUGUUAUUAAAAUUCAUAAUAAUUUUUAAUAUUGAUGUACCCCGUGAAGAACUAUGAAAGGUACAAAAUCCAGAGAAGGAAUAAUGACGCAAUGACUUUAAUUAUAUUUUCCUUGAGAAGAACCAAUACAAACUUUUUCUGUAUAUAAUAACCAAAAUUGCAGGAACCGUACAGUACUUCAACAACUAUGUGAUAUUGUUAUUAUCUGAUAACUAACAACUCUCUGAUUCUUAUGACACUGCUAUUUUCAAGUAAUCAUUCUCUCUAUAUCUCUGUUUCCUUUUCCAGUGUUUUUUCAAUCAGUUUGAUUAAUCAGAAAUUAUUAAUUAGUUAAUAAUACUCCAUCUGCAGCUAGUUAAUACUACUCUUCAACAAAUGCUUCUAUCAUGCUUGCUUUAUUUAUUUAUUUAUUUAUAACUCUUGUGAUUUUGGUCAAAUUCAGCUUCUUUGUUUUUUUCAUGGAAAAAUAAACCUUAACAACAUUUCACUGUUUUGUGCAUGGCACAUAUUUCCUAACCAUUUUCCAUUUUCUCUGAGUUGCAUGUGUCUCUCAUGGUAUGUUGUUUUUUUUAUCUUGAUUAAUUUGCCAUCAUUUCAAUUUCUGAUUUUUUAUUUUUAUUUCUUAGUCAUUAUAGUCUUGAGAUUGAAAAAGACUUGCACUGUUUCAUUUAUUUUUUUUAAUAUGAUACUAUUCCAUGCCGUUUUUAUAUUUGCCUAAACUUAGCAUUUUUUGUUGUUGAUGUAAAUUACUAAAAUGGAGUUCAUCAGAACCAGUUUUUUUUUUCCUUCUUGUUUUGUUGAUUUUGUGUGGGAUCUUGGAAGAGUGCUUUUAUUUUUCCUAUCUACUGAUCACAACAUUUAUUUAUUUAUUUUAUAAAUUAUAUAUAGUUCAGUUAUCCCAAAUGGCACUCAUGAGUGACCUUCAGUGCUGGCAAGUUUUCUACUCUUCAAAUUGAAUUGGAAUUGCAUCUUCUUGGUAAGGUCCAUUUCUGAUCUUUUUAACCACAUUCUGAUGUCUAUUUAUUUCUUCUUUUACUCAUACUCUAAAUUAAAUACUGUCUAUUUCUAUGAUAAGCCUAAUAUUUUCAUUAAUUGUGAGAGUGCAACAAAAUUUAAGACUCAAAUCUUGUUUCUUUCUGUGUUAAAGCUCUAUUGCUGUUCAGACUUUAGAUUAUAGAAUAGAAUGAAUAUUAACGUGAAAACGUGUAAAUCAUAAAUGACCAAAACUACAAGCUUACAAUGAAAAGUACUUAGACCACAACUGAAGUUCUUUUGAAUAAAUUUUUUUAGUUGUACACUUGCACUACUACUAGGUAUUCAAAUUGUGGACCUGCAUCAGACCGCAAUUGUAGUGUGAUUGUAAUUCAAGAUAAAAACUGCAUCGUAACAUCUAUGUAGCUACAACACAAUAGGGUCAACAGCUGCAUCAGGCUGCAACAAACUAUGUAGGGAUCAAUUUUUGUGUUACUUUGUCUUUAUAUGAUAGAUUUAGAAUGUAUUUUAAAUGAUAGAAAGUUGAUAAUCUGAUAGUUACUAGAUAUUAGAGAGAAAAUAGGAGAUAGGUAAGUUAUAAAGUUAGUAAUAAAUUAUAAUACAAUGUCUGCAAUGCUAUAUUUGUUGUGAGAAAAAAACUCACAAAGUGUCACAAUGCUAUAUUUGUGAUACUAUUGGAGAGCAUCCUUUGUGACACAUAACGUUAUGUAAAAAAUAAGUUCACACUGCAACAACUGCAAUACACAUUACAAUUACUACAAUAUUGUCUGCAACCAUAGUGAUUUUACUGCAAUUGUAACUGCAAUUUAAAAUAAUUGAAAAUGUCAACCGAUCAAUGUCAAUCUACCUAUUUUAUGAAGACCAAUAGUUUGAUAUGAAAAUAAAUGCACCAACUAUAUUUCUAAAUGUUUUGAAAUAAGCAUGCAAAACACAUAUCAGCCAAACCUAAUGUAUAAUGUACUAUUUUGUACUCCUAAAUAAUGAAGUAUACAAGUACAAUGAAUUUGUGAUAUGUAUAAUGUACUCAUAUCUUAAGUACAAUGAAGUAUACAUGUAUAGUGUACUACUUUUAUGACACACAUCAAAUUAGUUUGUGUUUGGGUAUCUAUCCUUAGUUUGUUGGGCCUAGUUGGCCCGUUCAUAAAAAAACGUAGGUGCAGUUAUGCAUUAUAUAUACUAGUUGGAUUCAGGCCUCGUUAACCUCUAGUAGGACAUAAAAACCGAAAUGAUAUCAACAGUUCAUGAGUGAGUCGGCCAUAAAUGCAUCUUAUCUUAAACAUCUCGACACUGAUAGCAGAUCACACAUUUCAUGUUACUUCAAAUAAAAACAAUUUCUAAUGUAAUCAAGAUAUUUCAAGUAACAUUUAAAAUCAUUGAAUUUCUUAUUCUUAACAAUGUAUAACUUUAUUCUCUCCAGAACGAAAUAUAAACAAAAAUAUUAUGUGAAAAAUUUGAUGCAUCCAGCUAAACAUUCAGAGCAGAUAUAAUAUAGUAUUAUUCCUUCUUAUUAUUUUCUUAAAUUUUUUCUUGUUAUAACCCUGUUUUUAAUAAUGUUGGAAGCCUGCUUAACUUGAAUUUCAGUGUUUGUAGGUACAUUUUAUUAUUCUGCAGUAAAGCUCCAUAUCCAUAUCAGAAUCCGGAUUAGAUCAGGUAAUUUAUUCCUCAAAAAAAUGGUGGUUGAAUUCUAGUAUGGGAACAAUCAAAUAUUUAUAUAUUAUAUAGAAUUACUUGCUUUUAAAUUAAACAAAUACAAAUUUAUAAACAUGACAACAUUUAUAUGAUACGUAUAAGAGAUUUUCUAGUUCAUUAGAGAUUAGGAAUUUAGGAGACUUAUAAAAGUUAGAGUAUGGAUUCGACUCUUUCGAUAACAAAAAUAACAAUUAACAUUUGUCAUUAAUUACUGACUUACUUAAGUAGUUUAGUGUUGAGAUCUGGCUAAUGCUAAUUUGAAAACAAAGCCAUGGAAAUAACGAUUAUUAUUUUUUUUUGUAUAGAAUUUACCUCACAAGAUUUUUACAUAGGAGUUUCUACGGCACAUUUAUAAUUCAAAAUGUUUUGGGACAUUUAUUCUCUAAAUUAAUAAAUUAACGAUUAUUUUUAUAAAUAAAGAAAUUAUUUAUUGUCUUUUAUAUUUUAGUAAAUAUUAUUUUAUAAGAAAAAAUAUUGCUUUAUUUUUUUAUAAACAUUAUAAUAAUUUUUUUACAUUGAAUCGUAAAAAAUAUUUAAUAUUUAAUAAUGUGAAUAAUAAAAUUUAAGAAAUUUUUUAAUUUAUUUCUUUUAUACUUUUGAUAAAUAAUAUUUAUUUAUUAUAAUUUUGUAAAUAAUAGAAAUAAUUAAAAAAAUUAUUUAAUUAUUAAUUUAAAUAUCAAAUAUACUAAUACGUGUCGAAAUUAUGAUGCAUCAUUACAUUUCUCUUUUUACAUAAUAAUUGAUCAUUGCAUCGAUUGAUUCACAAUUUACCACCACUAAAUAAUCUUCGCCAUUUAAUUGAGAUCGGAAAAUAAAAAAUAACUACCUUGUGAGACAUUUACUGUGUCUAAUCCAAAUAUUUAACUCCAUAGUAAUUCCUUCGAAGCCACACCGUAGUUAAUUUUAGUUAGAUGUAAUUAAUGAAAAAGAUUUAAUAGCUAUCUUUAGAAGUUGGCUAGGGAACAAGGGACGUGCGAAGGUUAUAUUGGUUUGGAGCAAUGAUCCCUUAUGGGCUUAUUUAAUUUGAUGUAUGUAUUAAAAGCUAGGCAAAUAGCUAGCACUAGUCUUUUUCUUUGGGGCAGUUACUAUAACACAUGUCCUUUUAAUUGGAUGAAUAAUGCUAACUCUAUUGAUGUAAGAAAUCAGCAAACUAUUGCUUUUUGUCUACAAACGAUCUUCUGACUCUAGUACAUAUACGGUCGGCAUUAUAUAUGACUUAACUAGUUUCAACUCCAAGUACAAACCACAUUUUUUAUUUUUAUAUUUCUUGAAAACAAUUUCUCUUGAUAUAAGACUGCUAGUUUUGAUGAGUUUGACUAGCAGAUAACAACACCAUACGAUUGAGUUACAUGUUAAGGAACAAUUUGAUAUGAUAAUUGAUUAUUUACUAGUAUAAAUUUAAUUUAUUAUUUGUAUAAACAAAGAUGAUCGGAUGUACUUCUAAUCAAUAUUUUAAAAAUUGGACUUGAUUUUACUAGCAAUUUAUAGGUUUGUCAAUAUCAUUUAAAUUGAGUAUGUUUGAACCAGAUUAAAUUGAAUCAGAAGUAUAGUUAGUUCAGUAGAAUUUAAUUGUUUGCGUGUCUGUAUUAUUUAUUUUCACUAUUUUUAUAUUUUAUUUACUUCUUAUCUUUUCUAUCGUUUUUAAGUCUCUUGAUCUUUUAAUAUAAAUUAUUUUUAAAAUUUCACUUGCAUUAAUAUAUCUUUUAAAAAAUACCUCUUUUUUGUAACUUACUACAAGAAAAUUUGUAAAUGUAUUUUUCUCUCUCUUAUAUUUAUAUUGAUAUUAAUACUUGUAAAGAUAAUUAUAGAAAAAUAACUAAUUUUUGGAUGAAUUUUAUUAUUACAACUGUUUUUCUUAAAGCACGAGAGAAUUUUAUAAGUGAGACUUACCUACUCCAUCAGUUUUACAUAUACGUCCGUUCUAUUAUGAGUGUCAUUUAUUCAUUUUAAAUAUAUUAAAAAAUUGUAUGAAUAUAAAAAAGAGAAUGAUAUGUGUACUAACUUACCUUUAUAUAUCAAAUAUUGAUGUAUUCAUCAACCACCAUUAUCAUAAAUAUAAAAUUAAAGAUAUUGAUUUAAAAGUGAGGUAAGUGAUAUUAAUUAAAAAAUAUAAUUUUAAAAAUUAAUUAAUUAAUAUUAUAUUAAAAAUGAAAAGAUUUAUUUUCUGCAAAUAAAUCAUUCACGUGAAAAGAAUGAAAUAAUAUCCUAUGGUAAUGAAGUAUUUAUUAGUGUUUGAGUUGAAAUGUUAAACCAAUAAAACUUAAACCAUCAUUGGUUGUAAUAUUGAAGCACAGCUGAUUUUACUAUGCUUUAACUUGGUUGUAUGAAACAUUUAGAUUAUGAUAGUACACCAUUGCUUGGGCUUCACAAAGCAAUGGAUAGUGUUGGUAAAUUUGUAUCGCUCCACCUGUGCCUGUCCAAUUUAGAGUGGGUUAGUUAAUGCUUGACUAUGUUUUGGAGACAAAUCGUGAGACGAAUUUAUUGUAUUUAAUUUAGGGUCAGUUCAAGAGGUGGGUUCUACGUAUCAAUUACCCUACAUUGAGACAGCUCUUUUUUGAGGUAUGUAUUACACUUAUUAUUCUUUCCCAAUAAAAACAUAUAUAAAAGGAUAUAUUGUUUAUUGAGAUUUGAAACUCUUUUAUAGUUAUAUGUCCUUAAAUUGCUUUAAUAUAUAGUUAUAUAUCCUUACCCUCUGCUGUUUAUUUAGAAUGAAAAAUCUAGGACCUUUAUUUUGAUAAAAUAUUUUUUUUUUUUAAUUUUCUAAAAUGUAUAUUUAUUUUAUUUUGAUGAGACAUAUUUGAAGUAAAUAAUAAUCGCAGAGAAAAAAAUUAAUUAAUAAAAAUAUAUUUAUAAAAAUAAAGAAAUUAUUUAUAAUAUUUUUAAUAUAUUCAAAAAUAUAGAUAACUAUUCACUGCAAAAAUGUGUUAACAGCUUAAAUUAACAAACAAGUAGAUAGUUUAAAUUCAAAUUUGAAAGAUUAACGUAAUAACUAAUUUCUAAUGUUUAUUAUAAAAAAAUUACAAUUAAUAUUUAUCGACUUAAAAUAAUUAAGCAACUUAAAAGAUGUCAACCGACUUCAACACCAGCUAAUUGUGAUGAGCCACAUCAUCCAAUUUAAGCCUAGUGGACAAUAAAUAAUAAUAAUUAUUAUCAUUAUUUUUAUUAUUAUUUUGUGAACAAUAACAUCAAAUAAAUAUGAAACAUCGUAAGAGAUAAAAAGUUUAUAAGAGGGAUAUGGUGUACGAUAAUUAGUGGUAAGAGGGGGAAAAUGUUAAAAGAGAAUUCGAGGAACGUCUAUUUUUUAUGGAAGUAUAAUCAAAAUCUAUUGUGCUAUUAUCGAAAUGAAAAUUAUUAUUUUUUAAAUUAAUUAUAAAAAUUGAUUUUUAUAAAAUAAUAUUCAAAAUAAAUUUUUAUUUUAAACAGCUUUUAAAUUGUUUUUAAAUUUUGAUUUUUUAUUUUAAAUUAUAACAAAUAGACGAAGACUCUAAAAAUGAUUAUUUUCAAAAAUAGUCUUUGACAAAUAGACUCUCAAGUCUUAAUAAUCAUUAGAAAAACGAAACGCAUUUACUUCACCUCAAUAUAUCGGAUUUAAAUUCGGUCAUCAACCCCUUAGGUUUAAUGUUUACACUAUCAAAAAACUUAAACAAAAUUAUGAGGAAGAGCAACAUAAUUGAGUGAAUGAGAAAAUUUAUUCUUUGACGAUCAAAGUUUAAUCAUAAAUUAUAAUUGAGUGAAUGAGAAAAUAUAUUUAACUGUAUUUUGUGGCUGUCUAAGCCCUCACAAAAUCCCAAUGUUGUGAUUUUGUGAGGGCUUAGGCAGCCACAAAAUCAAGUUAAAUAUUUAAAAAUUUGUGAGGGCUUUUUCAGCCACAAAUAAAGACCAAUUUCAAUUUUGACAUUUGUGAGGGCUUUUUCGGUCACUAAUUUGUGAGGGUUUUAUUCGGCCACAAAAUAUUUAUAAAGUUGGCCACAAAAUGGUGUUUUUCUUGUAGUGAACUAAUUUGAUCGACACUUAUAAUUUUAAAAAUCAAUUUGCCAAUUCACACUAAUAUAAUUUGUGCAAGAAAGAAUUUUCCCUUGUGAAUGGAGCAGGAGGAAUAGGGAAAAAUGAUUUUGUUCGUCAAUUUAAUUUAAAAAAUUACUAACAAAAACAAUAUUUAGUCUAUAUUAAUGACAACACAUCACAUGCUUAAGAAUUAAAAUAACUGUUUAUUAUUUUUAUUAAAAAAGUAAUAUUUACUCUUUUGUUUGUUUAGAAGAAACAAUCUAAUAAUAUUUUUACUAAAAUAACUGAUAGAUUUUACUGAUAAUAGUAUUUACUCUUUAUAUGGUAAUAUAGUAUAUGUGGCAGCAAUUAAAAUAUUCUUUAUUUGGUACUAUAUUAAAUGUGACCGCAAUUAAAAGAGAUAUAUUAUGAUAGUCUCCAACUCAAAUUUUUUAUGUCGGUCUCUCUAACAAUAUGCAGUUUUUUUUAACGGAUAAUUUUAAUAAUUAGUAAUGUUAAUAUUAUUAGUUUUUGUUAUGAGUGAAAGUCAAAUAUGCGAUUUUUUUUAAUAUAUAAUUUCUUUAUCAUUUUACUCUCUAACUCGUUUACUUUAGCCACCAAAUCAACCUUAUAUCUCCGCUAAAAAUAUACGUUUGUUUCUAAGGUUUAUCCCAACCAACCAGGAUUGAAGGAUGAUAUCACAAUUGACACAUUAGAGGAUGAUGAUAGGAAAGUGCACAAGAGUUAGAUAGACAUAUUUUAGGAAAGAAACCAUUUUGUUCCUAAGAGUGCUCUCAGUCAAACUCUUUUCUGUGCGGCACGAGCUCACCUCUGUUCUAACAGGGAACUCACACAGUUAAAGCAUUUAUAACUCAUUUUUCCUUUCUGUCAAAAACUUGCAGAAAAGAACAUGGUAUAGAUUCAUUGAGACUUUAGAAUAAAAGGACACUAGGACUAAAUUAACCAUGUGUCAAUAUAUAUAUAUAUAUAUAUCAAGUUCAUUAUAGUUUUAUCACAUAUUAUCAAUUCUUAAUUAUUGAUACCAUUUUAUAAUUGUACCUGUUAUCAUAUUUUUUGUUCCUUUUUUUCCCUUCCUUUUUCAUGUAACAUUCACUUUUUCAUCAUUAUACAUGUGAGUUGAAUUUUAUCAAGAAAAAUGUUUGGUACAUUUAUCAUUAUUCAAAUGUGCGUAGAGAAAAUUAAGAUGUCGAUGUAUGUACCAUUGUUAUUUUAUCAAUGAUUAAUGUGAUGAGUAUUUUUCUAGCAAACUCUGAGAAAUUCCUCCUUGAUUGUGUACAUACUCCAAAAGUAUUCACUUUAAUAUCUUUUUAUCAGUCAACUUUGUAGGGACCAAUCAAAACUUAUGAUAAUAUUCGAGUUUAUUUAUCCGACUACCUACCACAUUAUCAAUGCAAGAAGCCAAAUAUAUCUUGACAUUAGUUGUAUUGAUAUAAACUCUAAGACUUAUAACAUUGAAAAAAUAUAAACUCUAAGACAUUUUUCUUAUAAAGACUCAAUUCUCAAUUUAAAAGAAAUUAGAGGCAAAAAGAAUUUCUAAUAAAUGAAUAAAAAUUAUUUAGUAGAUUUUGUAAGGAUGAAUUUAACUCGCCGUAAAACUUAAGAGUUUUGUCACAAUCAACUUUCUAAAAAAUAAAGGCAUUUAUUCUUGUAUUUGUUAGGAAGUUAUGACUUUUUCUUUCGGGAUUUGCAUGUUAUCUUUUAAGUCCCUCGUAGAGGAUGUCUUUGGAAAUGUUUAACUUAUAUCCAACUAGUAGAAAGACAUACAUGUUUUUCAUAUUUUGUUGCAUAUAUAUAUAAUUUUCUUGUAAAAUAUUUGUUUUAUUUUAAUUCAUCUUUUUAUAAUAUUUAUGUUAGGUAAAAACGCUUUAACGGUUUGCUUUUGAUUUGGCAUUCAGUUAGAGAGUUUGAAAUGUUAAAUUUUAAAAUAAAUUAUAUUUGGAUUUGACUUAGUUGAAAAUAUUAAAGUUACAUGUAUUUCUAAAGUACAUUUAAAAAUUAAUAUAUUUUGAUACUAUUAAAUUAAGUAUAUUUGAAAAUUAAUAUAUUUUGAUACUAUUAAAUUAAAUUACGUAUAGUUGAAUGAUAUGUUAUCUAUAAAUUAGUUUGAUCAUAUUUUCAAUUUAAAAUCAUCAAAUUAUUAUGUUUUAUCUCUCGAGUCUAUUUUGAAAUGAAGUUUUUUGUUAUGAUUUUAAUUUUAAUGUAUGAUUUUAAUUUUAAUUUAAAUUAUGGAAACAAUUUAUUUAAUUAUAAGAUCAAAAUUGAAUAAAUAACUAUAACAAAAUUCUUAAUUUAGUCAACUUGAAUAGACACUAUAUAAUAAUGCAUGGGGACAAAUUACACAAAAAUAUUGAUCAAAAUGUUCAUAAUACUUAUACACAUUUCUUUUUAUAGUAUUAUAUAACUUGUCUCAAAUUAUUUUGGAGAAGUGGUUAUCAUCUGAGACGAAACGUAGCCAUUAUUUAUAUCAACAAUGAUAUAUAAACAUAUAUAAUUUCUCUAUGCUUAUUCCAUACUUUAUUUUCUUGCUAUAUUUCUCUUCUUAUCACGUCACUAACAUAUCACAUUUAUCACGACACACACUCUCUAUAUAUACAUACAUAUUUGUCAUUAAAAAAACAUCACUCUCUCAAUUUCUUUCUCUCUCAAAUUGUCAACAAGGUGUAUGGGUAUCCAUUAAUAAUUUUUCUAUUUAUAUUAUGAGUGGUGUCCCAUGUCCUUGUCCCACCCCAUGGGUGCUUCUAAUUUUUGUGUAUAUUGGUCGAGUACCUCUUGCAACUCUUUUGAUGAUAUAUAAUUCUUUGUUGCUUAAAAAAGUCUGGAAAAGUUGUGAUUUUUGAGUAAUUGGUUUACAUAUACAAAUUUUCUCGUGGAUGUAGUUUUCUGCAUCACAACAAACUAACUAUGAAACAAUCUUUUCGGUUUUAGAAUUGGCUUCAAAUAAUAUCAUUGACUUAUUAACUAAAAAACAUAUAUCUUUGGCUUAUAAAAAAAAAAAAAAAGAAUUUAAUUUACAUAGUUAUAGGUUGGAGCAGUGAGUUAUGAAGAGUCCCACACAACACAGCUAUAUAAAUAACGAAACGCAAGAUUGGAAUAAUGAAAUUGAUUGUAGACUUCCCUCAACGUGGAGAUAAUAUACAAACUAGGCAUUGAAUUUCUUAAUUGUUUUUUCAAGGGAAACAAAAGUUGGUUUGUUUCAUAAGUCAACAAUUGUCACAUCACAAUGAAUGCUUGCAAUGAUAUAUUUAUAAACCAUCAGAGAAAUCACAUCAAAAACUUCUUUAACAACUUUUCUCUUUAUUAUCAAAUCAGUGAGUGGAAAUUAACCUCAUCCACAACUGGUUUUUAAGUUAAGAUAAUAUGUAACUAUAUAUGAACAUUAAUUAUUUACACACACAUAUAUGCAGGAAGGGGUAACAAGUAGAAACUCAACCUUGACAAUGUUUAUGAGAGAAAGAAACCCUAUUUUUGCCCUUGAAUCUUUGAUAUCUAACUUCUAUAUAUACUGUGCAUGCCCUCCGUGAAGAUGUUAGAUUAUAGAUAACAAUCCCAUACAUAUAGAUAUUUUGUAAAAAUAGAAAACUGAUCAGACUUGUUUAUUAUGAUCAUGUUUUUAUUUUCCUUGAUUAGAUUGAAUCAAUGAUUCCAGUUACUGGUGUAAGCUCUUAAUUCACACAGCACAAUCAAAAUUGCACAGGAAUGAUUUCCACCAAACACAGUGAUCAUGAUAACAUACAUCUGCAAAGACCAGUUCAAUUGAAAUGGAUAUUUAUGUGUGCAAUGCAAUAAUUAUAUAUGCUCCAAUCAGAAUAGCCCUAAUCUGCUUCCAUUUCUUAUGUAGACUAAAGCCUAAUCUGCAGAUCAAACUGUUUUGCAAUCCAUAUAAUAAUACUUUGAGUGCAUGAAUUCCUAUGCCCUAAUCAACCAUUUUGCUCUUGUUCAGAUACUUCAAUAAAUUAUUUGCAGCCAUAGUUGGCAGCAGGCAACUUAUUUAUAUAUAAUACAUAAAUAAAUGAGUUUCAAACAUUGAAACUAUAUAGUUCAAGACUAAAUCACAAAUUGAUUUAAUAUGAUAUCAUCACUGUCUAAUGUACUCUUCUCCCUGUGGUUUUUCUACAACAUAAGUAUAGUUCUCCAUUUGCUGUUAUAUAUAACAAAGCAUUUUGAUGGAUCAGUGGAUUGUAGCAUUUUAUGUUUUUUGAAAAGGGAUGGUGAUCAUCUCUAUUUUUUGUUUUCAUAGCCAAAUAAACGAUAUCAUUAUUAAAUAGUAUAAAACAUACAGAAGCAGCAAGAUGUACCAAUUUUUUUUAUAGCAAAAACUAAACACUUAACUUCCUGCUUAUAAAUCACCAAACCAAUCAGCUACUUCAUUGGAAAUGUAAUGUGCUAAUAAAUUGUAAAAAAAAAAGAGACGUUGACCCCUAAAAUUUAUUAUAUAUUUUAUUUAACUAUUUUAACUAGGAAUCUUAGCUACUUAAAUAGGUAAUAUUUUUAAAAUUUUGGUAUAAAAAAGUUGAGGUGUUUUACUAUUUUUUAAGUGAAUUAAAUAAAAGAGUUUAAUUCAAAAAACCCUAUUGUUAAAAUUCCUAGAUCUAAUCAUGAACUUAUAAAAUAUUAACAUAAUAAAAAAAAAUGUUUUAUGUUUAUGAAUAUCAUUGUGCUUCAUAGAAACUAGGAGAAUAAGCUUUAAAAUUGAAAUUUGAAGCUGAGAAACCUUGAAGCAAAACAAAGUAUGUCACACUUCUUCCUUGUUUAGAUAGAUCCAAGAGCUUUUGUAAAUUAGAAUGUGAGUUAGCAAAUGGCCAACAUCUAUAAGCUUCUUCUUGUCCCUACAUCACUGCGUUCACCAUUGAAUUAGAGUAACCAAUUAUAUAUAAAUAACUAAAAUACUAAAAGCUUGUAAUUGGGUCAAGAACUUUUUGAAUCAAACUUUAAAUAUUAAUUAAUUGGCAUUAAUAAUUAAAUAAAUAAUACACGCAGGACAGGACUCAGCAAACCUAUCUUUAUGAGAUUUUUUUCAUAUGCCAUUGGCUGAAAUUAUCAUUAAGAAUGGGUACAAAACAUUGUAAAAUGGGAAUAUAGGGCAGAAAAAAUAAAAGUACUAACACAGAGAAGAUGUGAUGGUGAUUACAAGGCAAAGCACUUGAGGAUUUCAUUCUGAUUAUCAUAUAAUUUACCGAAAACUAGCAAAUUUGUAUUCACUCUGAUUCAUUGCACUCCUCCCAAGAAUUUCCAAACAUUUCACAAACUCUACAAAAUCAACACCACAAAAAUUAAUUAAUUAGCAAAAACACAUCAUAUAAAAAUUAAAGUCUAAAAACAAUCUCAUCUAGUUUUUUUAAUGACAAAAGAAAAAUGUAGUUUGUUUUUUUGAAGAGAAAACAAAAAUAUUAUAUUGAUCUCAAGAAAACCAUUCAAUUCAAAUGUUUAAUGAACUUCAGUUGAAACAAUAAUCGGUCAAACUUUACUUAUCUUUCCACUAAACUCUUAAUUAUUAAGGUCCAAUUUUCCAACAAACUAGAGGGUUUAGGGAAAAAAGUUAUUUCUUUAAAAAAAACGUUUUAGAAAAAAAAGCUAAUCUAAAGUAGUAAUGAUUUGAGAAGAAAAAUUAGUUACUUACCACUGAUUCAUGAAACAUGUAGAUAGAUUCAUGGUGGCUAUUCCAUAAAAGUUGGAGCAACCUCCAUUAGUCUCCCAAUUGGUAGUUGAAUAAGGAAAUAAAUUAGGGUAAUCAAUAAUAUUGUUGUUGUUAAAAGUUGGUUCUUUAGGGAUAGUUGCGAGAUUUUGUUGAUGGUGAUGAUGAGAAGAAGUAGAAGACAUCAUGUUCCUUUUGAUCAUAAUAGAUUCCUCAAUGACAUUAAAACCAUAAUGAUCUCUAGGUAUUUCACUCUCAUCAAGUAGGUUAUGAUGAGAAUAAGUAGAAGGGUGGUAGGUUUGAAGUUGAACAAGGUGCUGACGCCAUCUUGCAUAAGCUUCAUCAUUUUCAGUACUACUUUGAUGAUCAAUAGGUGAUGAUGAUGACAUCAUCAAUUGUUGAAGCAUUUGAUUAUGAUUAUGAUGAUGAUGAUUUGUUGAAGAUCCAUUAGUACUAGUGCUACACAUCUUGUAACAAGUCCUUUCUCUUGCCCUUGCUCUAGCUCUUUCUCUUGACUCCUUUUUUGUUUGAACAACAAAAGCUUCUUCUUUUUGUUGUGUCCACUUCAACUUAUUCCUCCCUUGUUUAUUAUCACCAACACCUGAAAAUGAUGAGUUUUUGUGGUUGUUGUUGUUAUUUGUAUCAUAUUCAAAAGGGUUGUUAUUGUUGCAACAACCAAUGUUUUUUGUUCUAGCUAGUUCUUUGAUUGCACUUUCAGAUUUUGUGAAAAGCCACUCAAGUGUGUUACUUGGUUUGUCAAACUCUAACAUAUCUUGAAGAUCAAAGAAUUUUCUAGCUAUUUCACUUGACAAUCUAACCCUUCUGUCUCUCAAACCUUGUGAUGUGUGAAUCUUGCUGUGCCUAUCUUUUUUUCCUAUGGUGGAAGAUGGUAAUUUCUGUGUGACAAAAUUUGGAACAACACUAACACCAUAGUUGGAAUUACAAUUAUUAACAUUAGUACUUGUUGAAAUAUCUUGUUCAAACAAUGAAGUAGCCAAAUUAUUAGCAUUAAUAGUAGUUUCAUUAGGGAAUAUUGGAAGAACAUCAUGUGUUGUUGUUGUUGAGGGUAAAAAUGGAAGAGAAAGUGGAUCAUCAAGAAGAGUGUUGUUUGGAAAAUCAUUUUGAGGGUCAAUGAGAAAAGAAAGGGUAGGGUAAGAAGAAGACGAAGAUGAAGGGAAAUUAGGUAAAGGGUUGGAGUCAUGAUAUGUGGAAGAGAACAUUUGAAGAUCUUGGGAACCAAAUUUCAAUGGGUGAAAACCCUAGGUUUUGUGAAAUGAGUAAAAGAUCCCAAUUCAACACACUGGUAGCUUCUAUGCUCCUAUACUUAACGGUCCAAGUACAGUCCUAUAGAUAUAUACACUUAUAUAUAAUCAUUUUUUCUCAGAUUCCCAUCUCUAUCUUUUCAAAGUAGCUACACUAACCACUAAGUACCAAGUACUACCAACUAUACUAAGUACCAUCAUAACCAUUUAAGGCUUAAAUUUUUUCUUUUUUAUAUUAAUCCUAUGAUUUUUAAACAAACAGCCGCGCCAAAUAAUUUGGAUUUUGGUUAAGAGGUUAGUAAAUGAUAAUAAAGUUCAAUUUUAAAUUAUUUUGUUUGAUUCGAUUUAGUUAAAAUUUAUUAAACACUUAAGUUUAAUCACUUAAUUUAAAUUAAUUUUUUUAAUGAAAAAAAUAAAAUAAAAUUGUGAUGUAUUUUGGGAAAGAGGGGAAAACAAAAAAGGAGAUUUAUUUUAGGCCAAUGAAGUACUUUAAAAAUAGCUACAUUUAUUUUGUGAAUAUAACUACACUGUUACCGAUCUGAGUUGGGGCAGAGGGACGAAGAUAUUUGCUCAAGUAUAUAUCUACAUCACAUUGAUCAAAAGGACACAAAUAAUUUUUGGGUUUCCACCAUAUUGAUUGAUAGCAUAUUAUUAUGGGCCAUCUGAUUCUAUAUAUAAAAAAAAAAUGCUUACAAAAAAUUAAGUAAUUUAAAGACAAAUAAAAUAUAUUUUUAAGAAAAAGUGUUAUUAAUAGAAAUGUAAUACUAUGCACAAUGGAAGGGCUGCAUUUCUUUUGUUUCAUAAGUGUUAGCUUAGCGUUAAUAGAUUGAAAUUAUAAUCUCAAAGUGACAUAAUUUAAAUUUUGUAUGAAACAGUGGUAAAAUAAUCAUUUUUAUCAUUACUAAUAAUAAUUUACUAUUUUUAAAAAAAAUAUACAAUACUUUGUAUUUUCUAAUUGUUCAUAGGUGAUGAAGCUAUCUGAUAGAAUUAUUGGAGACUUAAAUAUAAGUAAAAAUUAAAUCAUAUUUAAUAGUAAAAAAUAUAAGCAAAAUCUAAUUGAUUUUAGUUUAGUUAAUGUUGUUAUUUUUAAAAUAUCUUUCAAUAUAAAAUCAAAUAGUUUGGAAAAUAUAAUUGUUUGUUUUUAUUACAUAAAAAAUAUUAAAUAGCUACCAUUUUAAAAAACUUUAAAGGAGUUUCAAUCAGAAAGUAUGAGGUUUGAUAUCAGAUACACCAUAUUAAUCUAACCAAUUAGUAAGUUUUUGUUUAUAUUAAUAGAGUGGAAUAAUAAAUUAAUUAGCAAAACCCUAAAGAAAAUAAUAGUGUUAAAAAAUAGAAAACCCUAACCCUAUGGAAUUUGGUUUGAUGGUUUAUAUCCGAAAGGCAACGAAAUUGGAGCAUUGAAACCGUAGAAAGAGUNNNNNNNNNNNNNNNNNNNNNNNNNNNNNNNNNNNNNNNNNNNNNNNNNNNNNNNNNNNNNNNNNNNNNNNNNNNNNNNNNNNNNNNNNNNNNNNNNNNNNNNNNNNNNNNNUGUAAAAGGUAGGUGAGAGGGUGUAAUAGUUUGCUUACAUAUCUAUUUUUUGUAUAAAACUCAACCGCAAAUAUACCAACUCGUCAGAAUUUUUGCAUUUUCAUUUUCUGAAAGGCUGAAUUAUUUUCGUACAAAAAUUGGUAAUACAAACUUCAAACUCAGUGUUCUUUUUGAAUGCGCCCACUAAACUUCAUUUCAAUCCCGAAAAAAGCUCAUUCGUUUCUGACACCCUUUGCAGCUUCACUCGGAUUUUUUCUCUAUCUACUUACUAGUACUUUCUUACUUUUAAUUACUACUACUACAUUAAUACGUACGUCCUUAAAUUUAUAAUCUUAUAUUUAUUAGAGUAAUAGAUUCUUUAUUAUUGAAAUGUUAGAGUGUUUUGUGGGAAUUUCAUUUUCAUUUUGUUGUAUUUUUAUCGAUUAUUUAAACUCUAUUUUAAGACGUCUUAUGCUUAAAUAUUAAAUAGUAUUUUGAUCAGUUUUAUCUUCUUUUUUUAAAAAUUCUUUGAUAAUAAUUGAUUUGUCUUAAAUUUAUAGUGUUUUUAAUAUAUUAUUCUAAGUACCACAUAAAUUAAUUUAUAGUUUAUAAGGUAUCAUUUUCGAUCUAUAUUUAAAUCAAAUAUAUUUUAAUUUUUUUAAUGAUUAGUAAUUAAAUCUAUAUUUCAAAGUUUAUGACACUUAUACACACCUUUUUUUUUAUACACGUGCUUGUACACAUUUUGCAUCAACCAUGAUGAUAUAAUAUUUUAAAUUAAAAAUUAAAUGUAAAUUAAAAUACUAAUAUGAAAAAAAUAUAUAUACACCAGUAUUAUAGGCAUGUGAUCUAGUUUAUUAAAUGAAAAAAAAAAAUUGUAUUUUCUAUGAGUUCCUUCCACGUGAUCUAAUCAUAUUCGAAACACGUUAGAUAUAAAUAUGAGUAUUUUUAUUAGUAGAGAUUUGAAUCUGAAUUUAUAAUGUUGUAUGAGUCUAACCCAUUCCGUUUAAAAGAAAAAUGAUACAUCCUACAAGUCUUCCUCCAAUAAGACUAAUGAGAAAUCGAACCUACACCUGAAUUCAAUACUUGUGUGUUUACCACUAGACCAAACAAGUGGAGUUUAUUUGAUUUUUUUUUCAAACAUUACUUAAUUGGAUAUAGUUUAGGGGAAACUAUUUUGAAUUUUGCGUAUAGGACAUUGUAGUACUUCCAUUAACAAUAUUGUUUUGCUUAAAAAAACAACUCAGACAAAGUUUAGUUUUCGGUAGACAAAGUUUAGUUUUCAGUAGUAUAUCAAAUCAAUUAAGUUGGAUUGUUAGAUAUUUUAUACGUGAUGGGAGGAGCUAAUGAGCUCUUGCACAAACAAGGCAUUGUCAUUGGUUUUUUUUGGGCCAAACAUGAGAACAUGUGAAAUUGCUGUAUUGUUGUAGAUUCAUGGACAAAGCCUCUAUUAUAAUAAGCACUAUUUAGUCAAGAAUUUGCACAUUAGGCUGGCUGAAAAUGAGAGCACAAGCGAAUGGUGUUCAUGUCCUAUACUUUUCAUUCCCUUUAAUAUUCCACCUAAUAACUUAUAUAUAGAUUUUUAAAAGAAUCUUCAGAAUUAUAAAAAGGAUGCACAAUUAAUAGUUCAAACUUAAGUUUAAACACGAUGUAUAAUACAACAAGUUAAGGUACACACACACAAAAUAUUGUAUACUAAAUACCUCUUUAAUUGUUUCAAUAUAAAACUCAAAUAAACAUAUAUUAUAAAAUAAGGUAAAAAUAAUACACUAAAUACAAGGAGUAUCCUAAACAAAAUGAAAAAUAAAGAUUUAAAAAAAGGACAAAACCAAACAAAGCGUCAACAAAAUUUAAGUAUUUCAAGUCCACCAUUUUCGAGGAAUCAAAAGCGAAGUCAACUAAAAAGAACAACAAAACUUAAACCCAAACAAUUAGAUCUUGAACGGUCUAUCCACUAAUUGUUCAAUUGUCGUUGUAAUUGAAAAAUUCCCAUCACUACUAGACUAAAACAAAAAUAACACUGUUGUUGCUUAAUCCCUUUCAAUUCAUAAUCACCCGAUAGAUGCUGACAUUACUUACGAUCAACGCAUGUGUUAGUAAAUCAUUCAAUUAUUCAAUCAUAUAAAAAAUAUUUAAGAUGAUAGUUUAAUCGUAAGAAUUAGUGUUGUUAUCUAUCGAAUUUAAAUUUUUUGGGGACAGUUGUAAAAUUGGUUAUUACCAUUUUGAUUUAAAAAAAAAAAUCCAUUUUCAUCAAUUACAAAAUUAAAUACAAAAAACAAUGAUUUCACAACAUGAAUCGGACAUGGUGAACUUACUUAGCUUCAUAAGUUGAUUAAAAAUUAUUUUGGAUCAUCUGAAGAUUAUGUGCAGCUUAAGGUGUUGGCGGCAAUUCAAGGGGACGCUAGUGUUUGUAAGGAUGACAAAAUUGAGCAUUUGUUCUUUUCCUUAAUGUUUUUUCAAAAACUCUCAAUUUUAAUUCAAAUUAUUUAAUUUUGACGUAUACUUAGAACAUAACAUGGUGAGAAAAGAAAUCACCUUAAUUUUUUAUUUAUUUUUUAUUUUAUAUGAUUAGUUGAAAUUUUAAACUCUUCGUUACUAAUUGGUCAAAAAUUAGAAUGGUGAUGGGUGUGGGCAAGUUGGCCUUAUGGCCCAAUGGUUAAAAAAAUUGUUUUACUUCUUCUUAGACACCAUUUGAUAAUUUGUAGCUCAUGUUUUUAAUAGUUUACGACUUGGUAGAUUCAUUAACUUUUUAUUAUGGCUGUUUUGUUGAUUAAUUAUACACUUAUGAAUAAUGAGUUGAACUUUUCAUAUUUUUUAGGAAUUUGUUAAAACUGUGAUGACCAACUAAUCAUUAUGUUGUAAAAUAGGGUGAGUGAAACUUUCAAUCAUACAAAUCUAGUUUGUUCGCCCCACUUAAUAUAAGUUUAUUAGGAGGUAGAGUAAAGCGAGCUCAUUCGCUUUGUAACCUAUAUGUCUCUAUUUUCUUUGAUAACAUGUUCCAAUUUUUAUUUAUCUUUUUUUAUUUUAUUUUAAUUAUCUCUUAGAAUCUCAUCACAAGGUAAACAAACUAAUGAAACAUCAUCAAUUAUUAUUUUUAAAAUUAUUUUGAGCCAAUUGUUUAGCUUAUUUCUUUCAAUUUAACGUUCAUUUUAGAAUUAUUUUAAAUAAAUAGCUCUUCGAUUAAAUAAGGUUUUUAUGCUUUCAUUUUAUCAAUUAAACUAUCUUGUGUAAUUUGUAUUGUUUUCAUUGGUUUAGCGCAAUGCUAAUUUUUGAUAAAAAAAACAUGACCCUUGUGUAAUAUUUUAAUUAUAUAUGGAGUUGUAGACGUUUAAAUGAAGUCAAAUUAGUUGUAAAUGAAAGUUAAUAUUUAUAGUUACAACUUUCAUGGAAACAUUGAAACUCAAUUUGGACUAUAAAGGGGUGAAGAGUGCAAGUUAAAUCAGAGGGAGGCCAAUUAUGAAAGAACAAAUGUGUGUAUUAAACACUACAGAGCAUUGCGCUCAGGUGCAGCUCAGGUGCAGCGCAUUGCGCCCAAGUGCAAAUCAUUGUGUCCAGGUGCAACACAUUGUGCCCUAGUGAUUUUUUUGUCACUUCAUUCUACCUAUAUAAGAGCAUUGUGCCCAUACUUGCUAGCAAUGCGUUGUCACACGUGUUUGGGGUCCUAUUUAAGCUAAAAACUCAUAUUUUGCUAGGAUUCUAACCUAUGAGGCAUUGGAAAUAAUAUAGUUCACAUCUUGGAGGCUUGGAACUUGAAGAUUUCACUCUUCAAAGCAAGAAGUGAAAAUUCAUUUCAUCUUUCUUAUGUAUAAUUUCAUCUUCUUAAUUGUUACUAUAUUCUUAAUCGUGAACAAAUUUUACUCAUUGAUUAGUGAUUAGAUGAAUUUCAUUGAAUAUAUGUAAUUUUGGUUUUCUUAUGUUAUUUAUACAAUUAAAAAAAAAUUGAUUAUUCAUAUAUUUUUUCUUUUAAUUUGUUUUAUGUGUUUGAUCACCAUAUAAUUGAACUAAAUAAUUAUUUCGUAACAUUGAAAAAUCGGCUAUAAUAACUGGAAUCAAAAUCUAUGUUCAUCUUUGAAUAUUGUUAUAGGAAUAUAAAAUAUUAAGAUAUGUCUAAGAAAUUGAUGCUCACAUAUGUUUUGAGCAACAACUUUGAUCACAUAAAGAUUUAGGGUUCAUUGGUAUAAAAAUUAGAUUUUAAGCAAAUGAAUUGUUUUUAGUCUAAUUUAUUAAUUUGACGUAAUCAAAUAAGUUAGAUUAUUAAAAUAAUGAAUUUAUAAUUGCAUAGUAAAAUGAUGUGAUUUGAAUCCUUAAUCAUUUUUUCUCUUAUUUAUUUUACAUUUGUUCAAUAUUAUAAGUCUAAUUCUAAUCUUUUUGUUAACUAAGUAUUUAUGUGGAAGCAAAUUUUAUUUAUUAUUAUUAUUUAAACAAUUUAGUACAUUUACCAAAUAGUUGUCACGUACUAUAAGCUCUACAUUCUAAUUAAUUGUUUAGAAACUCCCUCAAAGUAAUUUUGGAUAGUUUUCAUGUUCGUUGCAAAAUCCAAAAAUAAUUAGAAAUAAAAAUGUGUUAUUUGAUCAAAAGUAGUUUUAACAUUUGUAGAAUGUUAUGAAUACAAAAGAGAAUCUAGAUAAGAGUUGAAAAUAACUAAACUGAAGGAAUUUAAGAGACAUGUGAUAUUUGAUCCUCAAAUCAAAAAAAGCACAAGAGAGAAAAUAUCUUACAUUGUUCAUAAAUAAGACAACGGUUGUCAUUGAUGACGAUUCUCUUUCUAACUUUAGUAUUCUCUUGUAGAAUAAUGGCUUAAGUCUUCUUCUGUCAUUCUACUAUGUUAGUAUAUUUUUAUUCUUUAUAAAAAAAAAACUAAAAAUCAAUUAAAACAUCUUUUUGAGCACAUAGUAUGUCAAAAUACAAUCAAUCAAAUCAAACGAGAAUAAAACAAACUCCUAUAUAAUACCACAAGGAGUCAAAGAAAAUGAAAACCGUCAACCUAUUAAUCCAUGAAAACACCUUGACACAUCAAAAGAUAUUACAAAUUAAAGCUAAGAAACAUAAGUGAAUGUGUUCACCAUUGAGUUAUUUCAUAAAUCCUUUUUUGUACUUUUAUCAACCACUAAAAUUGAAUUUUGAUUUGAUCGAGAAGAUAUUUUAAAGAACUCGUAAUUUUGGUUAAAGAUGCAGAUAUUGUGAUAUUUUCAAAUGGUUUAAAUGUAAGCUAACAAAAUCAUAUGAAAUCUUUCUCGAAAUACUUUGUUUAUAAAAUAUAAAGCACAAUUUUUUUUUAGCAUGUUAAAGUGCAUUUUGUUGGAACACACUUAACACACCUUACCACUUCACUGUUGCAUUCCAUUAUUUACCAAAUAAUGAACAAUCAAAGAUUCGUCAAACUUUCAUGUGUAGAAAAACGAUUAUUUAUUAAUCUCCAAGCAAAAAAUUCAACUUUCAAAGGAACUACCUUGUUUUAAACAAAAUAGCUCAUAGGUGACACCACAACCUCCACAUGCACUAUUUUUAGGUCUCCAAGGCCACCUAUUUGGAACACCUUCAUGCAUAAAAACAUUAGAUAACAAAGCACAAUGUUCACGCACCAAAUCAUUUUCUCACACAAACAAAUGUCUCCUCCAAACCUACCCACCACCAUCAAGAUCCCAACCAAACCCGACCAUAUAUGCUAUUGUCACUUUUUUAUUACUAGCUAAUUCAAAUAGUCUAUUAAAUCUUUCACAAAGCGUCUCACCCUCCAAUCAAGGAUCACACCAGAAUGAAGUAUCAAUCCCAUAAUCUAUUUUUUGAACGAGAACAUUGUUGAACCAAUCCAUAUUGCCACACUCCUAAUCUUCACUAAUUAACUUAAUAUGCUUUUACCACAAGGACUCCUUACUUCCCCUCCCAAUCUCGAUCCAAUCCAACCCAUAUUUAGACUCUAGAACUUUAAACCACAAGUCAUUCCUCUAUGACCUCAAUCUCCAACACCAUUUACUUAAUAGUGCACAAUUGAACUUACGCACCCGCCAAAUACCCAACCCUUGUCUAUCAUGCCUAAGACACACCUUGUCCACUUAAUCCAAUUAAUUUUUCUUGUAUCCUCAAUUUCCUCUAUAAAAAAGAUUUAAAAAGGUAUUAAGAUGAGAAAUAAUAGCUAAAAGAGUUUUGAAAAAUGAAAGGAAAUAAAAGGCAGACAAGACAACUUUAAGUAGGAUAAGACAACGAACCAUCGAUAAAUGACAUGACUUCUAAUUGGAGAGUUUAUCUCUCAAUCAUUGGAGCUCAGAAAAAGUCCUUCUAGAAUUAACUCCAAUGGGAAAACCAAGAUAUUUAAAUGGAACUUGACAAUUUUUCAAUUAAGAAUAUGAGGAGUGUUAACUAAUUAAAAGUUGUCCACAUUCAACCCUCCCAACAAACUCUUGUGAAAGUUCACUUUGAGUCCCGAAACAAACUCAAACAACAUAAAAAUAAUCUUAAUAGCACGUAUAUUUAUCCAACUUUUUUUCUCAAGAGAAGAGUAUUAUCUGCAAACUGUAAAUGAAUUUAUAAAACUUAGAAUAUGACUCCACUUGAAACCCUGAACAAACCAACAUUCACAUCAAUCCCUCAUUAGUACUUUAAUUUAAUCUUGAUUGUAAUUCCAUAUUGUAGUUGAAUCAAAACCGCAGAAGAUUAUUCAUCUAUUAAUUUCGAUUGUUAUCUUUUGGGCUGUGCAUAAAUCUCAAACCGUUACAUAAAACUAGUUGAAUUACUUAAUUUUUAUUUUUUAUAAAAGUUGAAUUAUGACUAAAGCGUUGAUGAGUUUACUUUUGAGCGAAAAUGGCAACUUCUGUUGAAUUUGUGCAAGUUAAUUAAACGAGAUAUAAUAGUUGUUUAAUAAAUUUCUAUAUAAGGAUUUUGCAGAGUUAUCUAAAAAUGGAAUGGAUGGACCAUGUUGGGUGAAACAAAGCGCACAAUAAGCGAUUUGCACCCUAGUGGACCAGCUAGUUAGCAUUGCAAUAAUUUCUUUGAUAGCUAAGUAACAGUUGGCAUGGCAUCCUAUCCAUCAACCAAGAAACUCAACGGUUUUAUUGUCAUCUUUUUAUUUCCCAUGUUUUUUUUUUUAAUUUUAUUUUACUAUUUAGUAUAUAUUUACUACGCUUCAAUAUAUUUUAAGAACAACAACCUUGUACUCAUAAAUAUCAUGAAUUAUGUGUAAAUGCAACUGCAACCUAGUCUUUUUUUUUUUUUAGAAUGAUGUGUAAUUUGUAGGGGUGUUCAAAAAAACCAAAAACUGAACCAAACUGCCGAACCGAACCGAACUAGUUUUGAACUGAACUGGUUUAAGAACCGAACUGUUUUCGAACUGAUUUUGUAAAACCAGAACUGAACCGAACCGGUUUUUCAAUUCAAAAAACCAAACCGAACCGGUUUUUUGUUUAAAAAAACCAAACCGAACCGGUUUUUAUUUCAUAAAACUUGAACCGAAUUUUUUUUAGAUGUAAUUAGGUGUAAUUAUGUAAAUUUUGGCCUAUAUGAACAAAAAAAUUAAGUUAAACCAGUUCGGUUCGGUUCAAAAUAAUAAACCGGUGCACCACUUUUAUAAACCGGUUCGGUUCGGUUCUUUGAACUGAAAACCGGUUCAGUUCGGUUUUUCCAAACUGAAAAACAGUUCGGUUCAAUUUUCAAAUGGUUCUAGUUCAGAAUUGAACUUUGCCCACCCUAGUAAUUUGGAUGAACUGAAGAUUUGCAAGAGUCUCCAAGUGAGUGAGUGAGAUGUGUCAUUUGGUUAGUUUGUCAUGAAAUUAUCAAUCACAUAAAGAUUAAAAUGCAUUUGGACAAAUCCAAUCUAUUUUUAGGUAUUGUGGUGAAGAGGAGGAUGAAUGAUUUUAAUUUGCGAUUCACAAUUAUAAUAUUAUAAGUUUUUAAGUUUUUCUAAUGAUAUUGAAAUCACAAUUUAUAUUAUAUCACUUGUAUUAUUUUAGGUCUAUUUGUUUAAAAAAAAUUUAAAAGUGAUUUUGAAUUUAUAUUUUUAAAAAUGAUUUUUAUGAUAAUUUAUUUUAAAAUAGUAGAAGUUGUUUCUGAUUCGUUUAUUUAAAUUAAGAAAAUUAAUUUUGACAUUCUAUAACUUGAAAAUUUAUUAUUAAAUAUUUUAAUAUAAUAAAAUUUAUAUUUAAAAAAAAUUCUCAAAUCUGAUUUUUUUUGAAAUUUAAUUAUCCAAAAAAAUUAUAACAAAUAGAUGAAAUAUUUAAACUUUAAAAUAUAUUUUAUGACAAACUAUUUUAACAUAAUUUCCAUUUUAAACUUUAUUUUCAGAAUUCAUUUUAAAAAAUUUAUUAAAAAAUAAAAUACUAUAAAAAUAAUUUUUAUUUAAAUCUUAAGCAAAUAGACUUAUAUCAUCCACAUCUUAAGGACUGCCAAUUAGCAAUUAAUAUCUGGACCCCCUCAUGUAUGCGUGAUAAUUUUUCUAGGGUGGAUCGUCAUUAAUUGUAAUUGUCUUGCUGGUUGUGAUAUGAAUGUGGAAUUGUUUGGGUCAUGGGUUUAAUUGUGGGCUUGAAGGAGUAUGGAGAGUGGAGACUCAUAACGAUCAUGUCUCCUGCUGUUUGGUGUGUGAAUUGUGGUUCUUUCUUAAAAUUAAUAUUACCAAGGAGUGCGAUCAUGCCAAUAAUUAUUUUUAUCAAUACGGCUAUUAAGCACCAGAUUUGAUAUUAGAAGAUUGAGGGUAAAUUUGGGAUUUUCAUGUAUUAUACAAAAGUUAUUAUUAUGAUUUAUUAUUUAUCCUAUGUAUUAAGUUAGAUUUUCUUUUUUGUCUAUAGAAAAUUAGCCCAUUAUACCAAAUUAUUAGUAUUUCCUAUAUAUAUAUAUAUAUAUAUAUAUAUAUAUAUAUAUAUAUAUAUAUUGAGAUGUAGAGUGUUAAUUGUGAUUAGAUAUUUUUAUUAAAGUUUGAUUUACAGUUGAUUAACAACAAUACAAUAUAAUUUAAUUAUACAAAAUAUAUAAGUUCUUAAACUUGAUUACAUUUUUUUUAAGUUUUGAGAUAAUUUAAAAUAUUUUAAAUAGUUUAAAGUGCUGCCGAAUAAUUAAACUUUUUUGCUAAAAAAAAAGUCAUGAUUUUAUUAUUUUAAAACCAACCAUAUCAAAUCUUUUUAAUUUGUUAAUGUACUAUAAACACUCUAUUUUCAAAUUCAUAUGUCAAAACCUAAACCCCACUUAAAUGUUCUUAAUAUAGUAAUUAAAAACACAAAAUUUAAGGUCUGUUUGAUUUUCAUUCUAAAAAAAUUAUUUUAGUUUUUUAAAAUUUAAAAAUUUAUUUGAAUUAUUAUUUUUUAAAAAUUGUUUUGUAAAAUUAAUUUUAAUAUUAUACUUUUUAAAAUUAAAAAAACAAAAAUGGUGUUUUACUUUUUUUUAAAUAUUUUUUAGUCAAAAAUUAUUUAAAAAAAUUAAAUUAUCAAAUAAGUUUAUUGUUUUGUAAAUCAAAUAAGUAAAAAAAAAAUUUAAAAUUUAAAAUAUAAAAGUGUUUUAAAAAGUUUUUCUCUUCCUCUUUUAUUUUUUUUAUCCAUUAGAGAUAGUUGGUUUACACCAAUUUUUGAAUUAGAAAUAUUCUUUAAAAUUAUUCUUUCUUUUCAUUUAUCUAAAUUAGUAGUUCUUAUGGAGAUUUAAUUUUUAUAUGAUAUUACGGUUUUGUGUGGCAUUACUUUGUUUUCUUGUCUUAUUUCAUUGUUGUUUGAUUUAAACUAACAUAUUUAUUAACUUCGAUAAUAUAUAAAAUUUAUAUUAUUAAUUUAAAUUGUAUUUUUCACACAUUUUUUUUAAUUUAAUAAUUUUAAAUUUAUGUUGUUUUCAUAAAAUAUAUUCUAUUAAUUAAAAUAAAUAAAAUCUUAUUUUUACGAUAAGGUUAUUUUCUCCGCCGUAAUAUUAUUUAAUUGUGCUCACGAACAUAUUAAUAACAAUCUCUGGUCACUUCGAUAUACAUUGAUGGUAAAUUUUUAGGUUACAUGUGUAAUUUCUGAAGAAUCAAAUAAAAUUACUAUCUUAUUUUAAAUAUUUCUUUGUAAUAUAAUUAUUAAAAAAUAUAAUUUUAAUAAUAAAAUAAGUUUAAUUUAUUAAAAUAUAUUUAUUAAUUACAAUCAAUAGAGAACUUUAAUAUACUAAAAUACAAUAAAUAAAUAUAUUAAUAAAUAAUAUUUUUUUAUCUUAAGAAAAUAAUAAUUUUUAAUAUAAUAAAUUCACGGUCUUAAAUUCGAAUCAAUCAACCUAGUAUUUGUCAGUUAAAUUUAUUAAUGUUUAAAGACAAAUAAUUUUAAAAAAUUAAAUAUUAUAAAUAAAACAAUUAUUACGGAGAUAGAUGAAUAGUUAUAUGUAUUUCACCAACCUUUAGUUUAAAAUUUUAAGUUUGACGUGAUUAGUAAAAUAUUAUAGGUGACUUUAGUUUAAAAUUUUAAGUUUGACGUGAUCAGUAAAAUAUUAUAGGUGAUUUGAGUAGUUCUAAUAACAUACACACAACAUGUCAAUUGUAACCUAAACCUCAUGUGAAGAAACAACAAAUGGUAAGUGAUGAAGAGAAAUAAGAAGUUAGUUUUAUAAAUCCGAAGUGGAAUAAGCAGAUCAUGAUCGCCGCAUCGAAAUGGAAUGGACCCCAAAUUCCAUUCGUUAUAACACGUACACCUCCAAGGUGUCACUCAUGCAUCCCAAAGAACGCGAGGUUUAUUUUGCCACCUCAAUUUUGUUCCUUUCAACACUCGUCAAACUACAUCCUGCAAUGUUGCCAAAUAUCUAUCCACGUUACUCAUCUAGCUUUAUGUUUUAUAAUUAUAAAUAUCCAUUACUUCACUCCUUAUCUCGUCAUCCAAAGUGAUUCAAAUUCAAAUCAUGGCGACCGCAACCAAAGCACGAUUUCCACUUUUGUUGUUGCUUGGAAUUAUAUUCCUAGCCUCAGUUUGUGUCUCUUAUGGCAUUGUACAGGGGAACCCCUGUAUUGAGAAGUGUCUCCAGCGAUACAACAAAGUACAUGAAACAUUCAAACACCAUGAGUGCCGGUCUCAUUGCGAAAAGGAGGAAGAAGAAGAAGUUGAAGAACCUUUAGAACCUAGGGAACCUGGUAGAAGAGAGCGGGGUCGCCAAGAGGGUGAGAAGGAGGAAAAGCGGCGACAACUGCCUCCUCGUACAAGAGAUGAAGACCAAGAUAAUGACGAGUGGAGAGGACGUCGUCGUCAUCAAGAUCCUGAAGAGAGGGCGAGGUUGAGGCGGAGAAGAGAGGAGAAGGAGAGGCGCCAAGAACAUCAAAGAGAGGAGGAAGAAGAGACUUCUUCAGAGUCACAAGGACGAAGGAAUCCCUUUUUCUUUAACUCCAACAAGUUCCAAACUAUCUUCGAAAACGAACACGGUCACAUUCGUCUCCUUCAAAGAUUUGACAAACGUUCCAACUUAUUUGAGAAUCUUCAAAACUACCGCCUUCUGGAGUAUAAGGCCAGACCUCACACUCUCUUCCUCCCUCAACACACAGAUGCUGAUUUCAUCCUUGUAGUUCUCAGUGGUAAUUUAUUGUACUAUAAGCAAACAAUUAAGUUUCCUUCAUUUUACAUAAGGAAUUAAUUUGUUGAAUAUUGAAUAAUGCAGGGAAAGCCAUACUCACAGUGUUGAACUCCAACGACAGAAACUCUUUUAACCUUGAGUGUGGUGAUACCAUCAAACUCCCCGCAGGCACUAUUGCUUAUCUAGCUAAUCGAGACUCAAAUGAGGAUCUCAGAAUAGUAGAUCUUGCCAUACCAAUUAACACACCUGCAAAAUUCCAAGUAAUAUAUAUAUAUAUACUGUUAGCCUUUUCUCAUUACCAACACAUCCAUUUAUUUUGUUAUUAUCCUUUUCAUAUCUGACUAUUGAUGUUUAUCUUUUCAUACAGGCUUUCUUCCCAUUUGCCAAUAACAACCAACAAUCAUACUUUAACGGAUUCAGCAAGAAUAUUCUAGAGGCCUCCUUCAAUGUAAGCAUAUGCAACACAUGUUGUUUGACUUAAUGUCUAUCAAUUCACUCAUACAUAACCAUUAUGAAUAUAUAGGCCAAAUAUGAGGACAUAGAGAGGAUUCUACUAGAGGAGCCACAACAAAGGAGAGGCCACAGGGGGAGACAACAGAGCCAAGAAGCAGAAGUAAUAGUCAAAGUGUCAAGGGAACAAAUUGAGGAACUAAGCAAACAUGCUGAAUCAAGUUCAAGGAAAAGCAUAUCCUCUGAAUCAGAACCAUUUAACUUGAAAAGGCGCAGCCCCAUUUAUUCCAACAAGUUUGGCAAGUUCUUUGAGAUCACCCCAAAGAAAAGUUCUCAGCUACAGGACUUGGAUAUACUUGUGGACUAUGCUGAAAUUAACGAGGUUACAAAAUAAAUAUAUAUACAGAACUAUAAUUAGACAAUAAUUUAUAGUAUAUUCACUCGAUCACUUGCUUUUUAAAUUUUAGGGAGGUUUGAUGUUGCCACACUUCAAUUCGAGGGCCACAAUGGUAGUAGUGGUUAAUGAAGGAAAGGGAAACUUUGAACUUGUGGGUCUAAGAAAUGAGGAAGAAGAGAAAAGCAAACAAGUGCAGAGGUAUAGAGCUAACCUGUCUCCAGGUGAUGUCUUUGUCAUUCCAGCAGGUCAUCCAGUUGCUGUAAAUGCUUCCUCAAAUCUCUCUUUGCUUGGGUUUGGUAUCAAUGCUCAGAACAACCAGAGAAACUUCCUUGCAGGUAUGGAUAAUUAAAUUAAAUUAAAUGUACUAUAAAUGGACAUAAACUCAUCGGGCGAGAAAAGGCUCACUUAGGGUACAUUUUUUUGUUGAUUGAAAAUUUGAAGGUGAGGACGAUAAUGUGAUAAGCCAAAUAGAAAGGCCGGUGAAAGAGCUUGCAUUUCCUGGUUCUGCUCAAGAGGUUGAUAGACUAAUAAAGAAUCAAAGACAAUCUCACUUUGCAAAUGCUCAAUCACAAGGAAGCCAAAGAAGGAGUCCUCUAUCUUCAAUUUUGGACACUUUUUACUGAGUAAUCAAUCAACUGAAAUAAUAUGCAUGUAUGAUGUAAGAGUUAGUUAGCUCAUAGUGAGCACAGGAUGAAUAAGGAGGAUCUUGUAACUAUAACAACUUGAGUUCUGCUCUUAUGCUAUGAAUAAAUACAUUAAGAAUAAAUUGUGUCUUCUUAAUCAGCUCUGUUCUACUAUGUUCCUUUUUGUAGUGAAUAAUGCUCUAUGCUAGUUAUAUCAAAAGUGUUCAAAACAAUAACUUGAAAUAGUAAGAGUGGAGUUCAGUUAUAUUUAUAGUAAAUAAAAAAAUGAAUACAAAACAAAAUAAUAGAAUGUACCUUUUAAUUAAUGUUGCUCUAGUUAUAACUAUCGACAAAUAUCACCUGGUAUAGCCUAAGUGGUAAGUGUUGCAAAUUUCAGAGUAAGAAAUUUAAUUUUUAUUCAUAAAAAAACAAGAAGAAACACAUGACUAUAAUGACACAAUUCAAUAGAUUGUAUAAUACAGCCUAAAUAGAUAUACAAUUUAAUUAACAAAAAUGGACUUACCCAAAUGCAUAACAUUCUAGAAACUCUACGACUUUCAUAAUUCUGAAAUGAAAUUACCAUAUUUAUGUGUUUAAAAAAUCACUUUGUUACAUGUGUAGCUUGCUAUAAAAGUUAUUUCAAUAUAAUUUUAAUUACAACUUGCAUAAUUCUCAAAUUAUUAUUGUACAUUUAGCAUUUAUUAUAAUAAAAAUACAUUUUUUUUUCUAUUCGUAAUGAAUAUUGUGAGAUGGAGGCCUGUAGUCUUUUUUUUUGUUCUUUCAAUUAAGGUAUAGUUUUUUUUAUCUUUGAAUGAUUACUUCACAAAGAUUUAAUUUGUUUUAAUUGCUACAAAGACAUAUUUAUAUCAUAUUUUUUUCUUGAAAAAAGAGUAAAUAUUGUUAGAGAAUCAUUGUUGAGUUCAACAAUUCAAAAAUUAGAAAAAUAAAAUUUAAAAUAGUAAUGUGAAAAAUUAUUAUAAAAUUAAAUUAUAAUGUAAUUUUAUAUAGUGUAUCAUAAUUUUUUCAAUUUAGAAAGAACAAUACAAUUCAGACAAAGAAAAGUACAAUGUAAUUAAUGAAAGAAAAUUAUAAAAAAUAGAAUACAAACCGUAACAACAAAAUUCAUACGUGUAUGAUUGUUGUCGAAGUCUUAACCUACUUCGAAUUAAUUUGAAAACCUUUUGCUAUCUUUAAUAUCCUUACUCCAAUAUAAAACUAAUAAAGAAAUGUGCAUGAUUGUUGUCGAAGUCUUGACCUACUUUGGAUUAAUUUGAAAAUCUUUUGCUAUCUUUAAUAUCCUUACUCCAAUAUAAAACUAAGAAUCUUUAUUUUAGAACUUCAAAUGUCAAAUGUGGUCAAUAAAACUUAACCAUCAUAGAAUGAAAAUAGAAAAAGAAUAAAAAAUGAUACAUUUUUUUACUACCAUACAUAGAAACACAAAGAGAAAGCUAAUAAUGACUAACAAUAGAGAAAUUAUAGUGAAAUAUGGCAUUUAAAAAAAUGACUAAUGAAUAAUGAACAUGUUAAAGAACCGCAUCAUAAAUCACAAAUAUUUUUAAUUUUGAAUUUUUAAAUAUUAUAGUAUCAAGUUGAGAAAGGAUGAAAAAUAACAAAUUCAAAAUAGGUCAAGACUUCACCGAUAAUUAUGCAUGUAUGAAUUUUGUUGUUACAAUCCGUAAGAUUAGAUAUAGACAUUAAAUUACUAAAAAGUAAAUAAAAAUGCCAAUUUUUCUAUUAAUUAAACUUAGUUAUCGCAGUCAUUAAAAUAGGUCCCAAAAUAUAGCCACGAUUAAUUUUUGGUUAGCCACAUUUUUUUUUAUUGUGGUAAUGCCUUAUUAGCAACGUUUAUAUUUUUUAACCACAUUUAAAUCCUAGCUAUCUUAAUUUAAAAAAAUUCAAAAUUUGUCAAAACUUAUUUAUCAUAUAUUAAAACAUCCUCACAAAUCAUUCUAUUGUCAUCUAAUUAUAAAUUUUGAUAUAUAGUUUUAUUUUUAUCAAAUCAAUUAUAUGUUUAUAUGUCACUCUAAGUUUGCACUUGUAGACAAGUUUUAUUUAUAGCUCUACUGUAUACUUGCUCAUUCAUUCAAUAUUCAUUCUCCUUCAAUUUUAUAAUCAAUUCAUAUCAAUAAUUAUAAUACCACAUUUAUUUAGCGAUGACUCACCCAAAAUAUUUGUCCUUCCUCCUGCCCUAUUUUUCAUUUUUAAAUACUUUUGUUCUUUCUAAAUAUGGAAUAGUUCAUAGUUGAUUAUUAUUCUUCAACCCUUCUAUUUAUUAUUAUGUCUCAAAAGUUAGGAAAUGGUAUUGUGUGCACUCCUCUCUAGUGGUCUUCAUCAUCCUUUCAUCCACUGCAAUUACUAUCAUCAAUGAUUAGAACAUAUAUUAUUUUUCUUAUUAAAUAUUUGAUUUCUUAUUUGUUGAUUUCUUAUUUGAACAUAUUAAGUAUUGUGGCAUGGACAAGAUCAAUAUCAUAUAUACUAACCUCAGUUUUUUCCAUUUCGUUUUCUUUGCGAAUUUUAACCUGGUUUGUUUCUUUACAAUUUAAAUUGGCAAUACUUGAAGAGCUGAUAAACAAUAUUUAACAUGCUUUUGAAGGAUAGUGUUACUCUUCUCCCUUCUGUAUGCGUUUUAAAAGGAGAGCCGAUAAACUUGAAUGUGUUGUUUUAUGAAGUUGUGGCAACUUCUCUCAACUGCUCAUUGUCGUCGCUGUCGUCAUUCCAAACCAUAAAAGGAGUGAUAUAUCAUCUUGACAAUGAGGGUUUUCAAGAAGAGAAAAACAAAGAGAUUCAUUACAUCGCAUAUUUGAGGUUAGGAUUUCUGUUUAAUAAUUGGACUUCAAAAAUCAUGUUUCUCAUAGGAUUUCGAUAAAGACGUGAUUAGUUGAUUUUCAGUGCAGGAAAUUUGAAGAUUUUGAUGUGAUUAGUUGAUUUCUCAUAGAAUUACGUUAAAUUUUGUUUAGAAUGAUUUUAUUUUGCUUUAAAUUCAUAUGUUUGCUUCAAUUCCUUUUUCACUCUAGGACUCUUGUGAAUCUUAGUAUACUUUUGAUCUUUUUUUUUUUUUUUGUUAUUGUGAAUUUUAAGUCAUGGUAUUGGCACUACUAGCAAAACUGUUUUUAGCUGCUAUACUUAGCGUCGGCCAUGACUCUAACGCUAGUUAGCGUCGGUCAUGUGGACGCUAGUUCACGAAAUAUUUUUGUGUUUUCAUUAAAUAUUAGCGUCGGUUUGGCCGACGCUAAAUAAAACAUGGCAGACGGUUAUUUAUUUUUUAGUUUAAAUCAUCCAUCUAGCGUCGGACAGUCGGACGCUACAUUUUCUAAUUUGUAAAGUUAAUUAGUUUUUUCAGUAAAUUUAUUUUAUGUUUAGGGUUUGCUCCUACACUCUAAAAGUAUUUCAGUUUCCUCCUAAACUCUUAGCCCCAAAUUUGCUGAACUUUUCAUUUUCAUCUUCCCCAAAAUCUCAACCAACCUUCAAUCUCCAUCUCAGUUUUAUUUCCCCCAAUUGGCAUUCCAUCUCAGGUUCCUUAAAAUCGCGCCUUCAUUCAUCUAGAUGCGAAAAAACUCCAAAAUUACUCAUCUUGCGAAAAACCCCAGAUCCCUAAAAUCACUUGAAGCCUUACGUGAUCAAAAAACUUGAAUUUGAAAUCAAAUCCUUGCAUAUUGCUUUGCACCUUGCUGCCGAACGAGGAGGAGGAAGGAGGUGCCGUGUAACGUCGGUGGCGAAGAGUCUCCGGUGAAAACGAGGAGGUGGAGGAGGCGCGCUUCACAUGGACGACACAAUUCCUGGAAGCUCCGACGAGUUCCUGAAACGUGUUUCCUCCCGUGCUUAUGACAUGCGCAGGAAUCUUCAUCAGUCUUUUGAUUCUAGUAGCUACGACGGUAUCUCAUCUUUCGUUUCAAUUUUUGUUACUUGUGAUUCUGAAAGAUUAAUCGAAUUUGAAUUGUCUAUCAAUUUUUCAUAAGUUAAUGCUUACAAUUUGAAUUUAAGCAUAAAAGUUAGUUGAAGUUUCUGCAAUUGUCAUAUGAUUUGAAUUUUCCAUAUGCAAUUUUUUUUUCUUCUGCAAUUGUCAAUUGUUACAUUUUUCUCUAAGUUUUUUGUCUGGGUGUUUGAAUGCAUAUUAGUUUAUUGGCUUGUCUAUUUAUGUUAGGAAUAAUAUAUCGGUUAGGAAUUCCGUGAACAAGCCUUAAUCUCAUCCUAAUCUAUAAAUAUUAAAGUUGGGAGCCACAAGCUAAGUGAUUCUUUUCGCAUUACUAUUUCUAUUGAAAUCCACAUGAAAAUGCAGGAAAUUUUUUCUCUACUUCAAGAGAACGAAACUUUGCUGAAAUUGAAUAAGAAGCUGAAUCAAGAAAAGGAAACCUUGUUGAAGAACAAGGAUUUGACAGAUACUCAAAUUGGAAAGUUAACUAAAUCCUUGGAGGCAAUGCAGAAAGAUAUCAGAGACAAAGAGAAUCAGGUAGUUCAUUUUUAGUAUAAAUGAUUCUAUCAAACAACAUUUGUAUUUAUGAAAGUUGUGAUAUACCAAUUUUAACUUUCAGGUGCUAGUUUUAAAACAGUCCUUGGAACACCAAAGAAAAGAGCUCAAUGAUUGCAGAGCUGAGAUCACUUCACUGAAAAUGCAUAUUGAAGGGUCUCUCUCAGGAAAUAAUCUGUCUAUCAGGGAAGUUACUAAUGUUCAAUCUCAAUCUAUAGAGAAAUAUGAGGAAGAAAUUAAGAAAUUGAAGGUGGAAAUUGAAUUGCUGAAGGAAAAGAAUGUCAGAGCUCCUGAACUUGGAAGUUUUGUUGGUUUUGCAAUGGAAAAUUUAGAGAGAUGAUAAAGUGAUCGAGAUUCACGAAGACCGAGGUACAAUUUCAAAUCCUAUUGAUGUGGCGGUUGGUGUUGUAAGCAAUCAAGAUGCUUAAUCAUCAGUUGUCCAACCUCUGAAUAGAAUGCAAAUAACCAUGAAGAUACAUUGCCUAGAUUAUUUAAUCCUGCAAAUACAAAUAGUGCUUCGGAAAAUAUUUCUGAUUUGCAUUAUCUGUUAUGUAGCACUUUUGAAAAAUAUAAAGAUGAAAAAUCUCUCCCCUUUGCAUGGAAAAAAAAUAUGAAUAGUCAAGAUGGUUAAAUGUUAGCUGAAUAUAUGUGUCAUUGUCCAUGUCAAAUUUAACUGUGAUAUUUUGUUCUUAUGUAUGUUUAUAUUUUGACAGGGAUUAGGAACAAUUCAGAUACUUGCAGAUGCUUUGUCUAAAAUUGUUCCUUAUGUCUUGAUCAACCACGUGAGGUUUGCUUUUCUAUAAAUAGUUGAAUAAAUAGUUGAUUCAAUGAAGUUUGAUUUUAGUGUUUUAUUAUUUGGAUGUUUAGAUUCUUCACUAGUUGCAUCUAUCUCUGUUUGAUACAUGGCUGACACAAAUGUGUUUUAAUCUCUGUAAGCGUAGUAGUUUUUGUUCACUCUACCUCAAAUAUUGAUUAACUUGGCCAAUUUGAAAACAUGUUGCAGAUUAGCAUUGGCUUUUCAGGAUAAACAUGCUAUUUGGAAUGCAUAUACACUCUUUUUAUGUCUCACCAGGUAUAUAUAAUAUCAUUUACCUAUUUAACUUCACAAAAUAUGUUAUUUCGACACAAACACCAUAGUUAUAAAAAUCGUAUAAUAAAGAAGUGAAAGUGUUAUAGUCAAAUUUGUGUGUCAAAUUGUAUAACUAGAUAUUUUAGAAGCCUUAAUUGUGUCAAAUUUGAUGCUCUUCCUAAUCUGGAACAGUAAGUUGUAGCACUAGUUGUAUAAGACUAUUCAACUAUGAAUGAUAUUCCCAUUAAUUGAUCUAUUCAUUUUAUAAUUCAUUUAGUUAAUUAAGUUUAAAAAUGAGUUUGAUCUCCAUUUUGUUUAUAAUAAUUAAAUUAAAUGUUGGUUCUAAACGUUAGGUUCAUUUACUGCUCUUCUGCUGGUGUCUAUCUCAAAUCUGAUAUAUUACCUCAUGUUGAGGUUAGAUUACAUUUUUACUUUUCAAUAUUAUGGGUCUUGCCACGAUGCACUGAGACUUCUAAUCAUCCAUAUUCUUUUGUUUUACUAGAAAAUAUGUUCUAACCAUCCAUAUUAUUUUGUUAUACACAAAGUUGUUGUUGUUUAGAUAGUUAUUAUAUACACAUGUUGGUAGAUUGAUGCAGUUGACCCUAAGAGCAGACACAAGGGAAAGCUUGAAACAUAAAGCUUAUUGCAAUCAAAGGAUGUUCUUUGUUGUUUAGCUUGCAAUUGUUGAAGGUAGCGUCGGCCCGACCGACGCUGUAUUAUAAAUGUAUUAGUUGAUUGUAGCGUCGGUCUACCCAAGGCCGACGCACAAGAUUUUUUAAACUAACGUCGAAUGUUUUAUUUUGCUGGUAGCGUCGGCUUAGAGUGCGUUGGAUGGUAAUUGACCGAUGCUAUAAAUUAGCUUUGCCUGUUUUAGCCUAGGCCCGACACCGACGCUAGUCAGACGUUAAAUCAACGUUAGCGUCGACUUUUGGCUACGUUAAUAUCAGUUUUUCUAGUAGUGUAGGAAUCUAUUUUCUUUUGGUUAAGGGAACAAGCUUUUGUUGUUAUUGAUUAAUUAGAAGUAUCUAAUUAAUCACAUAAUCCUACUAUAUAAUAUAAUUGAAUUAAAUAUAGAGAAUCCUAUUGCAUCCUAAUGUAAUUAAGCAAUCAUCUAAAACUUAACUACUUUCAUUCAUUGGUUAUUGUAUAGUUUUUUGGAUCAUAAAAAAAUUGUUAGUUUAUAUGUUAUACGGAGGAUUUUUGUGAAAUAUUCUAACAUACUUGCUAAUAUGUGUCCAUUGCAUCAGUUGUUGCUUGCAAAUUAGCCAUGCUUCAUAAUUUUGUAUGUCAAACUAAGUAAAUAUUCACUACUUUCAUUUAUGUAUCAUAAAUUUUUUAAAAUCAAAUAGUUGAAUUUAACUUCAAAUAUGAAAGGGGAUAAUAUAAAAAUUAUUAUACUUUGACUUGGAUUUAUGUCUUAAGAAAGUAGGAUAUCACUUGUUACAUAUGUGAUAUGUUUCUUUGUUUUUUAUGAGAGCACAUGUGAAAUUUUAUAUAUUGAAUGAUUGUUCUUAUGUUCUUUUGUUGCACAAAUGAUAUUAUGAUCGGGUGGCUCUCAUUGGUUGAUAUUAUGAUUGGGUGGCUCUCAUUAAUUGUCCACUUUUUAUUAGUUAAAAGUAACGUCGGUGAAGCCGACGCUACUAAUUUUGUUGAUUUUGAUUUUAGCGUCGGCCGCUGCGACGCAAAGGAAUUUUUCAGAUGAUAUAUAAUUUAGCAUCGAGUGUUCUAUUUUGCUAGUAGCAUCGGCUUUGAGUAGAUCAAGCCGACGCUAUAGUAGCGUCGGCUUCGAGUAGAUCUAACCGACGCUAUAGUAGCGUCAGAUGGUAUUUGGCUGACGCCACAUAUUAGCUUCGAUCGUUUUAGUCUAGUUCCGACACCGACGCUAAGUGGACGCUAAAUCAGAGUUAGCGUCUGCUUUUAGCCUAUUAGCAUGGGCUUUUGACCGACGCUAAAAUCAGAUUUUCUAGUGGUAUUAUCUAGAUUUCUUUUCUUUUCUCUUUAUCUAGAUUAAAACAUUUAUUGUUACAUGGAGAUUAGGAAUUUGGUGUUUUUAGUUCUAAUAUAUUAUCUAUAACAUAAUUAAAAAUAUAAUCGUCCAAUCUUCAAUUUACGUCUAAGAAUUACACUAAGCUAGUAAAAAAGAUUGACCUCAUUUAAUUCAUUAUAUAAACUACUUUUUUCAAUUUAAUAGAUCGGUAAUAUUUUGUAUUUUAUAAAUUUCAUUGAAUUAAUUGAAUAUUUAUAAAGUUUUUUUUUUUACCUUCUUUAUUUUUCUCGAUAUUAUAGUUUUGAAUUUGAAGAACUAAAGAUAAUGUCAUUAGUUGUAAGAUUUGAAUUUGUUUAAGUUUAUUGUACAAAAAUAUUUCUAACUUCUUUUAAAUACUAAUUUACACUAAAAUGGUUAAUUGUAUACUAAAGUGUAAUCAAAUUCUUUUAAAUAUCAUUAAACACUAAAAUAAUUAAUUUGUAUGUGGUAUAAUUCAUACAAAAUGAUAAAUAUUUUAUUUUUACUAACAAUGGUCUUAUAUUAAUAUUAUAUCAUAUUAAAAUACAUUCUUUUAAAAUUGAAUAUUGUUACUACCUUAUUAUGUGUCAAUUACUUGAUUUUCCAAGAGUAUAUUUGUAGGAAGGAAUUGAAACUUCUAGAGGAUUAAAAGUUUUAAGCAAUUCAAAAUGUUUCAAUUGCAUUUUCUUCAUUAAUAAAUUGUGUUGUUUGGAUAGAACCAUUGUUUAUUUAAAUUUUGUCAUAUUUAUAAAUUUAAAAAGUGUUUGGGCAAAAAUAAAAAUUGAAAAAGGUAAUUUUUUUUGAAAUUUUGUAGGGAUAUAUUUGAGAUUCACAUUGUAUGAAGUUAAAAAGAAAUUUCAAAUUCUUACCUUUAAGAUAGUAUUUUAAAUUCUUUCAAUUUGUUUUUGAUAAAAUCUUUUUAUUUUAAAAAUUCAUCGAAUUUAUCAUCCAAAAAUAACAUUUAUAUAAAAGAAUUUGAAUUACGAUACAAAACACACUCUAAAAUUAUUUUUUAUAUACUUAAUUUCAAAUAUUUUGUAAAAAUAAUUUGUAAAGUUAUAUGUUUACGGCUGAUUCUUGUUAAAUGACAAUUCUUUUUUGUUAAAAAAAAGGUGUGUGCCUCAACUAAAUGAAAGCACCUUCGUAAUAUUUUGCAAUUAGUUUCACCCGUGAUAGCAAAGUAUUUCAUUAUGCGCGUUUACGUCUAUAUUUCUACAUUCUAUUUGAAUUCAGGAAGUUCCAAAGUCCUAUGUAGGUUUGGUAUGAUGCAUCUUGUCUUCACGAACAUUAAUGGGACAACCAUGCGCAUUAAGAAAAUUGUAUGCAAUAUCUGCACCCUUCAUGGAUGAAUCAUUAAUGGGACAACCACAUGAAGAAAAUAAAUUAUGUAAAAUGUGUUGUUUCUUCGAAUCAACUAUGGUAUCGAGGCUAUUCUGGAUAUCGAAGGGACAUAAUGAAAGAGAGAGUAGUGGCUUCGAAAUGCGUCGAACAGAGGAGGAAUAAAUAAGAUUGACCUAAGGCACAUAGAAGCCUAAGGCGAAUUAAAAUAUGAAACCUUUUAAAACUUAUAAUAGUAUUUUAGUAAAAUUAAUUAAAAAUAUUAUGAAAAACUAUUUGUAGGACAUUUUAAAAUUAAAAAAAAAAACAUUUAUUGAAUUAAUAUAAUGUACUACAUUACCGAAGCCCUAGUCAAAAUUUUCUGCUUAAAAUCUAUAUCCCAGACAGAUUUUUCUGCUGUUGGUGCAUGUUGGGCCAUUCCUAAAUUAUGAGAUGUUCAUCCUACACUUUGUUAAGGACAUAAGUCAAACAUACGAAACCAAACUCUACAUAGAAGAGUGGAUAAGUUUGAGAGAGAAAGUCUUGAGUUCCUCUGAAAAUUUCAGAGUGGUCAAAUUAGAAAAAUACAAAUAUGGUAGAUGUAAUUUUUGAAACUUCAUGGGGUGCAAGUGCACACUCUCUCACCGCUAUCUAGGCCUGCCCUAAAGUUAACACAUUUUGAUGUUUCUGCUUUACACAGUUACUUUUGUUAAUUCAAUUGGUUUUUGAUUGUAUCUAUAUUGUUAGAUCUAUACUAAUCUAAUCAUUUAUCUUAUAUUUUGUAAUAACUAUGUUAGUUUCUGUGUGUAAUUUGUAAGUGGACUUGUGCAAUUGUAGAUGAUUUUGUCUUUAGUUUGAAUAAGAUGUAGGAGAAAAGGGAUAGUACAAAUGAGUCUUCAAGUAUCUUCUUUUUUUAACACAACAGUCAUUUAUCUAGUGACUUCAAUUCAAGUAGUUCAAGGCAGUGGAAAUUAGCCAUGCCAAAUAUAAGCAUUUUUAAAAAUGACAUUAUUGAUCCCAAAAAAAAGACAUUAUUAUGAUCAAAAACACUGAAAUUCAUUAUUCUAGAGUGUAAAAUAUGAAGUUGUUGGCCAAAUAAAAUGAGAUGAUUUCAAGGAACGUAAAACUCACUAAGUGCAGCCUAAUGUUGGAUGUAACAAAACUUCUGCAACUUUACAUAUAACUUAGAAAACAUGGCAAUCUUUAAGCCUAAUGGGAAUGUUCAAAUUAAGUAUUGCUUAUAAAAUCUGAAGAAAUACAGAGGAUGUAUCAAAUCCGGAUGCAGAGAAAAUAUGAUAUCGUAUAAGCUCAAAGCAAGUUAUCAUAAUAAGAUUGAAUUGAAUUGUAUCAAAAACAAGAAACGAAUCGUCUAAAAACAUCGUUGUGUCGAAUGUCAAGUAUUUAUUGUUGUAGUCAGAAAUCAUCGAAAACUAUUCUCUUAUGUUUUUGUUUCACAUAGAAAGUUUACAGAUGUCAUUAAUGACUUAACAAUACAAUUCAAUACACAUCAUCAAUUUCUAUGCAAUUUAAUACAUAUUGUGGUUUAUGGACUAAACUGUUGCGGUUUAUUUCUUUUUCAUAAACUAAAAAUGAUCUUUUUUCGUCAGAUAUUAAUAUGUCUCAUACUCCAAAAGUAUCAUUUCAAAAAUAAUGUCUAGGUUCAUCAAUUUCAUGAUAUUCAAACAAAACUUGACUACUAGUUCAAGAGAUCAAGAUCGCCGCAUCCAUAUGCAUCCAAAAUGUUGGGACCCCAAAGACCAUGCGGUACAACACGUACAUAGCAGUCUUAUUUUUUUCUUUUGCCACCUCAAUUUUGUUCAUUUCAACAUUCGUCAAUUUGCAUGGCACCCUGUGGCCAAAUGUAUAUGUACAUUACUCAUAUAGCUUUUAUGUUCUAUAACUAUAAAUAUCCCUCAUCUCAUUCCAUAACUCAUCCUAAAAAUUGAGCUAGUGAACUACAAGUGAUGGCUACCACAACCAAAACACGAUUUCCACUUUUGUUAUUGCUUGGAAUUAUAUUCCUAGCCUCAGUUUGUGUCUCUUAUGGCAUUGUCCAAUAUGAACAGGGGAACCCCUGUCUUAAGAAGUGCAUGCAGCGAUACAACAAAGUGAAUGAAGCAUUUAAACGCCGUGAGGAGGAAGAAUAUGAAGAACGUUCAGAACAUAGUGUACCUGGACAAAGAGAACGAGGUCGCCAAGAGGGUGAGAAGGAGGAAGAGCAUCGGGAACAACGGAGAUCUCGACGUGAAAGUGAAAGGGAAAGGGAAGAAGAUGAGCAAAAACAGCGUCAUCCUCACCAUGAAAGAGAGGAAGAGGAGGACGAAGAGUUUAGAGAACGGCGUCAUCGUGGAGAUACAGAAGAGACGAGGUUCAGGCGAAGAAAGGAGAGGAGGCAAGAGCAACAAGAAAAAAAGAGUGAGAGUAAAGAAGAUGAAGAAGAAAGUUCUUCAGAGUCACAAGGACGGAGGAACCCCUUUUUCUUUAGGUCUAACAAAUUCCAAACUAUAUUCGAGAACCAACACGGUCACAUUCGUCUUCUUCAAAAUUUCGACAAACGUUCUAACUUAUUUCAAAAUCUUCAAAACUACCGCUUUUUGGAGUAUAAGGCCAGACCUCACACACUUCUACUCCCCCAACACAUAGAUGCUGACUUCAUCCUUGUAGUUCUUAGCGGUAAUUAUACUAUAAAAAAAUCAACUAGUAGAAGUGUAAUUUUUCUUUCAUUUUACAUAAAACAAUCAAAUUGUUGAUUACUGAAUAUUGCAGGGAAAGCCAUACUUACUGUGUUGAACCCCAACGACAGAAACUCGUUCAACCUUGAACGUGGCGAUACUAUCAAACUCCCUGCAGGCACCACUGCUUAUUUAGCUAACCAUGACGAUGAGGAGGAUCUGAGAGUAGUAGAACUCGCCAUACCUGUUAACAGACCUGGUAAAUUUCAGGUAAUAUAUAUAACUCUAACAUAACACUUUUUCCACUCUCUUCACCAUUACAAUUUCCACCACUCACUAAUGUUAUUUCCUGCAGUCUUUCUUCCCAUCUAGCAAUCAAAACCAACAAUCCUACUUCAAUGGGUUCAGCAAGAGUAUUCUAGAGGCAUCCUUCAAUGUAAGCAUCCUAGCAACAUGUGUGUGUAAAUUGUCGUUAAUUAUUUUAUAUGUAAUAGUUGUAAUUUGUGUCCUUGUUUAUAUGGUUGAAAAAAUAGACAAAAUAUGAGACCAUAGAGAGGGUUCUCUUAGAAGAGCAAGAGCCAGAACAAAGCAGAGGACGUAGGGGAAGUGAAGAAAGCGAAGAAGGAGAUGCAAUUGUUAAAGUGUCAAGGGAACAAAUUGAGGAACUAAGUAAACAUGCCAAAUCAAGCUCAAGGAAAAGCAUAUCCUCAGAAUCGGAACCAUUUAACUUGAGAAGUCGAAACCCCAUUUAUUCCAACAAAUUUGGCAAAUUCUUUGAGAUUACUCCAGAGAAAAGCCCACAACUUCAAGACUUGAAUAUAUUUGUCAGUUGCGUGGAGAUUAAUGAGGUACUCAAACAAACAUAUUAACACAACUAAAUUGGACAAUAAAUUUUAUUUGUCCACAUUCUUCUUAAUUAGAUUAUUACCAAAAAUAUGUUAUUAAACUUUUGUCCAAAAUUUUAGGGAGGUUUGAUGUUGCCACACUUCAAUUCAAGGGCCAUAGUUGUUCUAUUUAUUAAUGAAGGAAAAGGACACCUUGAACUUGUUGGUCUAAGAAAUGAGCAACAAGAACAACAACAAGAGGAAGACGAGGAGCAAGAAGAAGAAGAGAGAAACAACCAAGUGCAGAGGUUUAGAGCCAGGUUGUCUCCAGGUGAUGUUUUCAUCAUUCCAGCAGGUCAUCCAGUUGCUGUAAAUGCUUCCUCAGAUCUCAACUUUGUAGGGUUUGGUAUCAAUGCUGAGAACAAUCAGAGAAACUUCCUUGCAGGU
rnacentral:lncRNA from 1 species